rnacentral:lncRNA from 1 species
AAACGCAUUGAGCACGAAAUGCGGGGUCCACACAUACCUAUAUCAAUUACAAUUAUAAAAUAACUUUAAUUUUUUCUUAUUUUAUUAUUAUUUUUUUAAAAUUUCUUAAAUUAUGAAUAAUUUUCACUUCAAUAAUAUUUUUUUAAAUCUAAAUAUCAAACAAUCCUUCCCCUCAUGGUUGCCGCCCCAAUCACCUCUUCUCUCCUUCUCCAUUUUUUCUUGCUUCUAUCUAUUUUUCCUCUUUCUUCUUAUGUUUUUUUGUGGUACCCCAGGCUCGUGAGACUCAUCUCACCAUCUCUCUUUCCCUCAUGCUCACAUCUCUUCCCGCCUCCUUUCCUCCCAUUUCAGCACCACCACCACCACCAUUUUUUAUUAUAUCCCUGUCCUUCUCUUUAUUUUUAUUCACUGCCUUUCGUAAUCUUAUAAAUAUUUUAAAUUUAUGAUAAUUUGGUUAUUGUUUUGUAUGCAUUAGAGUAACUUAUUUAUUUAUUUAUUUAUUUUGUGUUGUUUCUAAUUUUUAGAUUGUUGUAUAAAUCUGGUAAUGAAUAAAUAAUAAUGUUUUUAUUUGUAGAUUAUUUCAAUGAACUUUUUUUUUUAAAUUUAUCUAUUUAUUUAUUUGUUUAUUUGUUUAUUUUAUAAUAAUAUUUAUAACAAAACUGAAGCUUUUUUAAGAUUUAACAAAUUGUAAUAACUUUUUUUAAGUAAAUUGAAAUUCAUAAUUCUAAUAAACCAAAAUCCCUUUCUAAUACAUUUUUAAUGAAUUAAAUUUUGUCUUAAAAAGUAAAUAAAUAUAAAGGAGAGUCAUCAAGAUAUUUUUUUUUAAUAGAUAAACUUAAUUCUAUAAAGCUAAUUUUUUUUAAAUAAAAACCUUUUUAAUAAGAAAAACCUUUUCAACUAAAAAAAAUAAAAUCCGAAAAUCAUGAUAUUAAUAAAUUUAUUUAUUUAUUUAUUUUUAUAUAAAACUGAAAAUAACUUCUUUUUAAAAAAAAUAAGUUGCAAAGUUUCUAAAAAAAAAAAUAAGUUGCAAAGCUUUUCUAAAUAAAAUUGAUUUUUUUAAGCGAAAUAAAUUAAAAGAUAGAUAAAAUUUUGUUUUUAGAUUAACUUUUUGAAAUUCUCUUUAAAAGGCAAAAUUUUCAUUUUUAGAUAAGAUUGGAGGUUUUUUUUUAAUUAAAGCAAUCUUCUCAUUUCAAAUCUAAAAUUUGCUUUCUUAAAAGAAAAAAAAAAUUGAAAUUAUCUUUGCUCUUAAAUAAUAUCGAUGACCCGAAAUAAUAUCUGAGCAUUCAAUUGUUCAGCACCUAGAAUCUCCUCUUUCUCUAAUUCCUCCACUGGGAAAACUCUACCAAGAUCUGAACAAUCUAUUCUUUCUUCAAAUUUCACUUGGAAAAGUCACAUUCCCAAUCAAGAAGAUCAUCAGGAUUAAUUUGAGCAAUCAUAUCAGAGUAGACAUCAAGCAAGUCUUGAUCAAAAUCAAAAUCCAUGUUUUCACCUGGUUCCUUCUCCUGGGGGCUGGACCAUAGCUUAUUAGCUUCUGUUGAUUUCACAUGCUUCAUGAGAUCUAGAACCUAAGGAUCUAAAUAACCACCAUGUUCUUCUAUUUCCUCUUUCCUGAAUUAAAUGCCUUCUGGUUGAUGACAAUGGGGUUUGGCACCUUUGAUUGAUAUCAUAGCUAUGUGAAAAGAGGAAAACAUGAAUUAGAGAGUACUCCAGAAUAACUAAAUUGACUAAUUGUUGUCUUAUUGGAGCUCUUAUAUUCAACUUAUGGAAAUGUGACCUGGGGCCCUAUAGUCAUUGUUGGGCUCCCUCGUAUGUGAGGGAGUGGGCCUCAUAUGCUGGACCAAGUCAGUUACAUUAAAAAAAAAAAGAAAAAAAACUAGAAAGAAGAGAAGAGAGAGAGAAAAAAAAACAAAUGCUCAGAUUUCAUCAACAAAUCAAUCCUAUUUCAUCUGUGGUCCGAUCGAGUUAAAAUUUAGAGGAGAGUUUGAAACUCAAGUAGCUACAAUCUGAACGGUGAAAGUCAAAUUUUGAGCUCGGGAACUACUGUUACUGCCUGUGAACAGUAAUGACGUUUUUGGUAUACUUUCUCCAAUUUUUCUUUGUUUCUUUUGUCAAGAGAGAUUGUAUAAUCUAAGGCUAUAUGUGCUCUUGAUGUAUUUGGCAACCUCUAAAGAUUAUUCUAGAAAAGACAUGUAACCUAUUAUUAUUGAUAGUGGAAGUUUGAACUGGAUUAGGUCCUGUGGUUUUUCCCUUUGCAUUGGGGGGUUUUCCACAUAAAAAUUUUGGUGUCUGAUUUUAUUUUUCUAUUGCAUGAGUUAUUUAUUUAUUGUUGGUAGUUGCUAUUACCUAUUUAAUUUUGCACAAAGAAAUGGUAUAAAAAUUCUGGCGUUUGUUGGAAUAUUGGGAAUUCACACUAACAAGUGGUAUCAGAGCCAAGUUGAUCAGUAGUGGGAUCUCUUGUGUGAAUUAAAUGGAGGAGGCUGACAGUGGAAUGAUUAAACUCACAGUUUCCAAUUAUUCGAUUUGGAAUACUAGGAUGGAGGAUAUUCUAUAUUGCAAAGAGUUGUUUGAGCGCAUUGAAUGCAAGGGUUAUAAGCCAAUUACUACAACUAAGGAUGAGUGGAAGAAAUUAAAUAGGAAAACCAUUAGACAGAUUAGGCAGUAGGUUGAUCAGAGUGUCUUCCAUCAUGUAGCCAAGGAAGUUGAUGCAUAUAGCUUUUGGCAGAAAUUAAAGAGUCUUUAUGAGAGAAAGACUGGACAUAACAAAACAUUUACGAUAAGAAGACUUGGGAAUUUAAAAUACAAGGAUGGUAAUAGUGUUGUAGAACAUCUCAGUAAUUUCAAAGAUUGUUGAAUGAGUUGUCUAUCAUGAAACUUGAGCUAGAUGAUAAGGUACAAGCUUUACUUUUGUUGAGUUUCUUACCAGACAUUUGAGAAACUUUAGUGGUAUCCUUGAGUAAUUCAACCUCAAAUGGUGUGAUAACUGUCAACAUGGUUCAAUACAACAUGUUUAAUGAAGAGAUAAGAAGAAAAAAGUUAGGUAUUUCCUCUAAUACAAAAACACUUAUUAUAGAAAGGCAAAGGAAAAAGUAAAAGCAUAAAACCUUCCAGUGAUUAUAACUGUGACAAGUCAAGAGGAAAGUCAAAGUCCCGAAAAGAGUUAAAGUGUUUUUAUUAUGGCAAGCUAAGGCACAUUAAGAUAGAGUGUGGAAAAUUCAGAAGAGAACGAUUUAAAGGAAAACGUGAAGAAUAGAAAAAUGACAAAGACAUUGCAACAGUUGUAUCUGAUGCUGAUACGAUCAUUGUUUGUGAUGAUGUGUGUGUAAACCUUGCAUGCUAGGAUUCCACUUGGGUGGUUGAUACAACAACGUCAUUUCAUAUCACUACACAGAGAUUUCUUCUUUUCCUACUCCAGUGGCAGUUUUGGUUGGGUUAGGAUGGGAAAUGAAACAAAAUGUGAAAUUGUUGGCAUGAGAGACGUAGAGCUAGAAACCAGCAUUGGGUGCAAAUUGGUUCUGAAAAAUGUUAGACAUGUUCCCAAAAUGCGCUUUAGUUUGAUCUUUGUUGGGAAGCUUGAUGAUGAAGGCUACCAUAGUCACCUUGGAGAGGGUAAGUGAAAGCUUACUAAGGGUUCUCUUAUUUUAGCUAGGGGGAAGAAAAACAAUACUCUCUACAAGACAAAAGCAAGACUAGUCAAGAGAAAGGUGAACAUUGUUGAGAAUGAAGCCUCUACUGAGCUAUGACAUAAGCGACUUGGUUACAUAAGUGAAAAGGGACUUCAGGUUCUUGCCAUAAAGAAACAUCUACCAAUUGAAGGUAUGUCACUAUUACUUUGUACGCAUUAUCUGUUUGGAAAGCAAAGUAGAGUUGCAUUUCGUAGAUUUCAUUCAUGUAGAAAACCAGAUAUUCUUGAUUUAGUUCACACUAAUGUUUGUACUAUGCAAAGUAACACUCUUGGUGGUGCACUUUAUUAUGUGACUUUUACUGAUGAUCAUUCAAGAAAGGUAUGGGCAUAUGCUUUGAAAUCCAAAGACCAGGUACUUGAUGUAUUCAAAGAUUUUCAUGUGAAGGUUAAGAGGCAAACUAGCAAGUAGUUAAAAUAUGUCAGAGCAGACAAUGGUGGUAAAUAUAGGGGACCAUUUGAACAAUACUACAUAAGUCAUGACAUCAGCCUUGAGAAGACGGUUCCUAAGACUCUGCAACAAAAUGGUGUAGCUAAGAGAAUGAAUAGAACCAUCUAUGAGAGAAUCAGGUGUAUGCUCUCUCAUGCAAGAUUGCCUAAGUCUUUUUGGGGUGAGGCCAUGAGGACAACUAUUGAUUUGAUUAAUCUGUCUCCAUCAUAUCCUUUAAAGGGUGAUAUUCCAGAGAGGGUUUGAACAGGAAAAUUUGUUUCCUUUGAGCACUUGGGAGUGUUUGGAUGCAGGGCAUUUGUUCAUGUUCCUAGAGACGAGCGGUCCAAGCUUGACAGCAAGACUAAACAGUGUAUCUUCUUGGGUUAUUCAAAUGAAGAGUUUGGGUACAUGUUAUGGGAUCUAGCUACCAAAAAGAUUAUAAGAAGCAUAGAUGUUGUCUUAUUUGAAAAUCAAACCCUUGAAGACUUGGAUCAGGUUAAGAAGCCAAAGUCUUUUAGUAAAGAACGGGUUGAUUUGGGUCCAAUCUCUCCUAACUUUGUGGGACAUAAUGAACACAUGGAAGUUGUGCAAGAAGAAUAGGUUGAUACAGUUGAUAGAAAUGAUGAGUCUGCAGUUGAUGAUGUAGAAGAAAUAUUACAAUUGAGAAUGAUGGCUUUAUUCAACAACAAGAACAAGCUACUUUAUAAUUGCCUACUGAAACACGGUUAAAAAGAUCUACUAGAGAGUGUCAACCUUCCAAAAGGUAUACUGGUGAUGAGUAUUUGUUGCUUUUUGAUAGGGGAGAGCCAGAAAAUUAUCAAAAGGUUCUGUUGCAUGAUAAGAAAAACGAGUGGUUGAGAGCUAUGCAUGAAGAGAUGAAAUCCUUGUAUAAGAACAACACUUAUGAAUUGAUGGAGUUGCCUAAAGGUAAGAGAACAUUGAAGAAUAAAUGGGUACUAAAAAUGAAGCCUGAACCAAACAGAUCACAGCUAAGGUACAAGGUAAGAUUGGUUGUGAAGGGUUUUAGUCAAAAGAAAGACAUUGACUUUGAAGAAAUUUUCCCGCCCGCAGUUAAGAUGUCUUCAAUCCGAGUUGUGUUAGGCUUAGCUGUUAGUAUGAAUCUAGAGAUUGAACAGCUUGACGUGAAAACUGUUUUCCUCCAUGGUGACUUAGAGGAGGAAAUAUAUAUGGAGCAACCAUAAGGGUUUACAAUGAAAGGCAAGGAGCACUUAGUGUGUCGAUUGAAGAAGAACUUGUAUGGUCUUAAGUAGGCACCGAGACAAUGGUACAAGAAGUUUGAUUCCUUCAUGGUUGAGCAUGGGUAUGAUAGAACUGCUUCUGACCAUUAUGUGUUUGUGAAGAAAUUAUCUGAUGGAGAAUUUAUUAUUCUCUUACUAUAUGUGGAUGACAUGUUGAUUGUUGGUCGUGAUACUAAUAAAAUUGAUAAACUAAAAAAUGAGUUGAGUAAGUCCUUUGAAAUUAUGGACUUGGGGUCUGCAAAUCAAAUUCUUGGUACAAAGAUUUCUCAAGAUAGGACGAAUGAAAAAUUGUGGCUAUCUCAAGAAAGCUAUAUUGAGAAGGUUUUAGACAAGUUCAACAUGGGCAAAGCAAAACCAGUGAGUUUUCCACUUGGAAGUCAUCUAAAGCUAAGUUCCAAACAAGUCCUUCAAGUGAGAAAGAAAAAGAAGAAAUGUGAAAUGUGCCCUAUGCAUUAGUCGUGGGUAGCUUGAUGUAUGCCAUGCUGUGCACGAGGCCUAAUAUUGCUCAUGCUAUUGAAGUUGUCAGCAAGUUCCUUUCUAAUCAUGAUAAAGAACACUGGGCUGCAAUGAAAUGGAUUCUCAGGUAUCUGAAGGGUAUUUCUAAGACAUGUUUAUGUUUUGAGACUAACAAACCUGUGCUUGUAGGAUACACAAAUGCAAAUAUGGUUGGGGAUGUUGAUUCCAGAAAGCCUACUUCUAGUUAUUUGAUCACUUUUUCAGGGGAAACAGUGUCAUGACAAUCAAGGUUAUAGAAAUGUGUUACUUUGUUAACCACAGAGGCUAAGUAUAUUGCUAUCACUGAAACUAGCAAAGAGUUACUAUGGAUGAAGAAGUUCCUACAAGAAUUGGGUUUAUAGAAAGAAAUGUAUCUACUUUACUGUGAUAGUCAGAGUGCUAUUCAUCUCAGUAAGAAUCUAACUUUUCACUCUAGAUCCAAGCAUAUUGAUAUGAGAUAUCAUUGGAUUUGGAUGCACUAGAAAUGAAAUUGUGUUGCCUUGAGAAAAUCCAUACUGAUGAGAAUGGAUUCGAUAUGAUGACAAAACCAAUACCUACAGAGAAACUAUAAUUAUGAAAUCGACAUUCAAUCGUCAAGUAAUGCAUUUAUCUUCUCCUUACACUACAUCUCUCAUCUCCUUUUGACAAACUCUUUGAGUCUCCACCUAACUACACUAAACUUCGGGUGUUCAGUUUCUUAUGUUAUCCAUGGAUUCGUUCUUAUUUUCAACAUAAACUUGACUCUCGUUCCACUCCUUGUGUUUUUCUUAGUUACUCUUCAACACAAAGUGCCUACAUCUGUCUUGAUCUAUCCACUUCUAAAACAUAUAUUUCUCGUCAUGUCAAAUUUCUUGAAAACUCUUUUCCCUUUACCACUCAUCAAUCUCAUAUAGCUUGUCCCACCCUAGAGAUCAUUUCCACCUAGCUUCCUUCAGUCCAAGCUCUAACCAUUUCAAAUGGCUCACUCAAUAUGCCUCCACAAAGGGAUUCCUCGUUUCAACAUCCAUCCCAAAAUGCCCAACCUGUCGACUGCCCCUCCUCACUAAUCGACCAUUUACCACCAGAACCACACAAUUCUGAGACCUCUUAUGCUUUAACCACAACUCCACCCACCCAUCAAAAUACCCAUCCCAUGACCACUAGAGCCAAAAACAACAUUCAUAAACCCCUAACCAAGAUGAAUCUCACUGUUGUCCUUUCUCAACCAUUAGACAUUGAGCCUCAUAUUGUUAACCAAGCCCUAACAGAUCCCAAAUGGAGACAAGCUAUGAAUGAUGAAUUUGAUGCUCUUGUUCGGAAUGGAACUUGGGAGCUUGUUCCAUCUAUUUCUAUGCAGAAUUGUUGGAUGUAAGUGAGUUUUUCGUAUUAAACGACUUCCUGAUGGCUCUAUUGACAGGUACAAAGCCAGAUUAGUUGCCAAAGGUUUUCAUUAGCGACCUAGUGUGGAUUAUCAUGACACCUUUAGUCCGAUUGUCAAGCCGACAACAAUAUGACUUGUUCUAAGCUUGGCAAUCAGUAAGGGUCAUUCGUCUUGCGGUGCGCGAUACGUAGGUAAAGGACCUUCGUUAGGCCAUACACCGCGCACAUUAGGGGGGGGGGGGGGUUCCGCAUUUCCAGGAUAUGUGGCCUCCUGGUUAUGUUUGGAGUUUUUCCCUUGGCCUCUCGGUCGCUGGUCACGAGGAGGCCCUGAUAAUGAAACUUGGAUUCUCAACACAUCGUUUUCUUCCGUGAGUCUCUUUGUUUCUUGGAGUAGGGCUUGUACUUGCCGCUCACUUUCUUGCUGUCGUCUUUCCAUGGUUUCACGCCAGUCAAAAUAACUUUCAUCACCCAUGGCUAAUGAACGACUUCUUAAGAGUAUGGACAUCUUCGUAAAUGAAGUUCCCACAGACAACGCCAAUGUUGAUGUCGCGACCCGUUGGGAUUACUGUAUCUCUCUGAUGUUGACGCUCGAUCAACUAAGAGUGAUGCUUCCUUCCACUCUCCUGCAAAAGAUGUCCGAACAGGUUAUCUAGACACACCCUCCGAAGCUCUAGUUAGAUUGACAGUUCUAUAUAAUCUCUCAUCUUGGGAGUUUUUCUGAAGUAGUUGUCUUACCUCCCCUUUUAUUGAGUUAUGAGAAAACUUUUAUAGAGUCUGGAUUUUUGCCACGUUUAGGCUGGAGGGGUCCUUUGACUUUUACAGUCAUGAUAACGGCUCAUAGGGUGGCAACCCAAUCAUCACUCUUUAGGCUGUUGAUAGAGAUUGCUAGUGGGGCAACAAGGCGGCUCAUUUGUCACUUCAUUCUGCAGGCAGCGCAGUGCAGAAUGUGGCAGGUCACCUGAAAGGACAUAUGAAUGUCCAAUUGAGCAUGCCUUUGAUGGAAGGAGAAUAAUUGCCCGUGGAGUAUGGUCAGGGACCCUACUUAGAGCGCAUCAUGCAGUCUUGGAAGAGCAUAAGACAACUGUCCAUUGACUGUUAAACCCGGAUUGGAUGGAUUCGGAUUAUGAGUUCCUAACUAAUGGAGCACGUCCGGAUAGAGGCGAAGGGGUGCCACAUGUUCAUAGAAGGAUUGCUUGAGAGGUUAAGGUAGGUCGCCGCGUGUUAGCUCAAUGGGAAGUCCCUACAGUUGGGGCUUUUGAUACAAGAAAAUGAUGGGGAAAAAAGUAGGAAUCAUGUGUAUGGCAUGAUUGGGCAACCAUAAAAUAACAAGACAUGAGUAAAGACUACAUAUCGUGAAGCCUGAAAGGAGGGGAGGGAGGGGAAUGCAGUGUGUGGUUGGGAAGACGGAGCGAAUUUAUAAGCGAAGAGAUUGAAUAGUUGGUCCUCAAGUCUACAUAAGCAGUUUUGCUCGGAAUAGUCCCUCUCCCCCGAGUCUAGUCUUUUUACGAAAUAGUCUCUCUCCAUAUUUUGUUUUUACCUGACCGAUGUUUUGAGUCUAGUGUUUUUACGGAAUAGUCCCUCUCGUCAAAGUGUUUAAGUGUGUGUUUUUUUAUUGGUUGUGCUUGCAUUUUUUAAGGGUAUCAAAGUUUUAAUAAAUAUAUAUAAUAUUUUUAGUUUUGAAGCGAUGUGGGAUAAAUAAUUUUUAUUUCUUUUAAAAAUACAGAUAACACAAUAUCAAAGACAAAAAAAAAUCUAUAUAUCAAAAAAGAAAGCUAACUCAAAAAAAAAAAAAUUAUAUUACAAUUUAAAAACUCUUAUAAACAAAAAUAAAAAUAAAAUUCCUUACUACAAUCUAAUCAUGUAAAUCAUUAAAUACUAACUAAUAAGUGAUUUAUUUUAUCAUUCAUUUUUUUUCAUUUGCUUAAUAUAUCUUCUCUUAAUUGAUGUAAAUUGGGAUAUACUUCUCUUUUAUUUUUAACGUUUUAAUUUUAUAAAUAGAAAAUAAAGAUAAAAUUCACAAAUGUAUAUAUAAAGAUGUCCAAGAAAAGAUUUCACAUUUCAAAAGUUUUAAAGAGAUAGAAACUUGUUUUCAAAUUUUAUUAUUAAGUUUUGAAGGUGGAAAAUCAUAAUAAGAUAUUAUGUUUAACUACUGCAACCACUUUAAAAACUAUUUUGUUUAUCAUUUAUCAAUAUUUAUUACAAGUUUAUAAAUUUACCAAAAAUUCUUCAUCAAUUAUUAAUUUUUUCUUUAAAUAUUUUGAUCAUUUCACUUAAAAUUAUAUGACAGAUAAUCUUUUAUCAUUUUUUCGACCAUAUGCUAAUAUGUGAACAAUGGAUGGUAAAAGUACAAAAUAAUAAUAAUAAUAAUGAAUAUAUUUUGUUUUUAUUAUUUAUUUUUUACUAUUAGUAACCACUCAAUACUUUUGCACGAGGUUAAGGUCAUGGUGAUGGUAGUUCACCAAAUAGCAUUUUCCUAAUAGGUGAAUUUAUGGCUUUUUAUAUAAUAUUAGGAAACUUAGGAAGUAGGUGAUUUUAGGAAUUUUUAUAUAAUGCUAGGGAACUUGGAAGUCGGAAUUUAGGACAAAACAUAACUCUAUAUAUAUAUAAUCUAUAUUACAAUUUACAAACCCUUGUACAAAAAAAAAUUCUACACCACCAUGAAAUGCAUUUAAAAAGAAAAAAGAAAAGAAAAUCCUUAUUAUAGUCUAAUAAUGAAACCAUCGACCCAUACUACUAUUUAUUAAGUGAUUUAUUUAAACUUUAAUUAUUUUUCAUAUUUUUUAUUUGCAUAGUAUAUUGUUCCUUAAUUAGAGUGUGUUUGAUGGUAAUUUUAAGAAGUGUUUCUAGUAUCUUUAAUAUAUGAAAGAUAAAAAUUUUCAAGUGUUAGAAAAACUAGAAACACUUUCUAAAAUCACUAUCAAACGCACUCUUAAUAUAAGUUGGAAUGCAAUUUUUUCUUCACAACUUUAAUUUUGUUUUUUUCAUUUUAGAAUAAAAAAUAAAGAUGUUUAAUUAAUAUAAGUUGUGAAAUACUUUCUUUUCGUAUUUUCUAAGAAUUUUAAUUUUUUAUUUAAUUUUAAAAUAAAAAAUAAAUAUAUGAGUGAUGAUAAAAUUUACAAAAUAAUAAAAUACAAUGUUCUACAAUCAAAACAACAUUAAAAACAACUUCUCCCAUCAAGAUAUCAAUAAUCUAACCAUGGUGGAUGAAGUCAUUAACACUAGCCCAUUUGAUUCUUUGAGGAAUGGUGGGAAAUGAGAUUUAUUUUAAGCCCCACUACAAUUUUGUAAUGCUUAAGAAAAGUAAAAACACAUCUCACCAUGAGAUAAAAUAUUAAAUGGAAAAAUAUUUUGUUCCCAUUGAUGUGGGAUAAAUUAUUUUAAAUCGAGUAAAAAGAAAAUAUACUCAUAUUUUAAACUUAUAAUAAUUUCCAACCACUAAAAAUUUAUUUUUUAUAUAAGUAAAAAUAUGCUAAGGACAAUACUAGACUUGUCUAAUAAUAUUUUGAAAAACAUCUCUCAAAUAGUUUUUUUAUAGCAGAUUUUAAAAAUGCUUUUCAAUUAUUUUUAGGAAUAAAAUUAUUUGACAGCUCAGAAUAUGAAAAUAAUUUUCUCAUCUUAUCUUUUAUUUAUUUACAUGUAUUACAAAAGUUUUAAAAAAUAUUUUUCAUAUUUUUAAUUGUUGUUCAUAACAUUUUACAAAAAAUUACUAAAAACCUCAAAUUUAUUCUAAAAAAUAACUUGCUUUCAAAACAUUUUUUUAGAAAACUAUUUUUUGUAAAAUGUUUAUCAAAUUUGUUUUGGACUUAAAAUCUAUUUUCUAUUUUAGAGAAUAAAAAAACCCUAUAAUGGUUUUCAUAUAUAUAUCACAUGUAUCAUAAAUUUAUUCUUUUCAUAUUUUUUAUAUUACUUAUUUUAUAAAAUAAAAAAUUUUAGUUAAAAAAAUUAAUUUAAAAUUUUAAAACUAAAAAAAUUGUAUAAAAUUUAUUAUAAAAUAAUAUUAUUAUAUGUAUUAUUCAAUAUAAAAAAAUAUUUUUAUAUAUUAUAUAACAUAAUAUAACAUAUCUCAAAGAAUACUAUGUUCAUUAAAUAUGAUAUUUUAUUAAAAAUAAUAUCAUAAAAUAUGCAUAUUUUAUCCUAUCAACCAAAUAUAAUAUUUGAGUUUGACAACAUAUAAUCUGUGGACAAUGAGAUUAUGAGUAUGAUGGCAUUGUGGAAGGUUAAACAUUUUUAAUAUUGCUUAUUUUUAAAUUCUCUUAAGAGGUUAUGUUUCUUAAGAUUUUUGUCUUUCGAAAGCUUGUACAUGUCUCAUAAUCCCUUUUGGCUGAUGUCAUGCAGAAGAAUCAACUCUGCCACCAACAGGACAAAAAAUUCAAAUUAUUGACUAUAAUUCAUAAUGCAUAGGGAGAUUACAGAUUCUAUAGAUUCAACAAUUGAUAAGCAUACGUGUUUAGAUUAUUGUCCCUAGCCAACAAUCCCACUUUUAGAUUUACUUUUGGUGUGCUUAGUUUGUAACUCACCUUUUUGUUUUACUUAUUUUCAAAAAUUUUAAGGUUUAAAUAGAAUUUAAAAAAAAAAAAUCUUUUGUGCCAUAACUUGAUUAUGUUUUUAUUCUCAUUUUUAAUCAUUUUUUCAAUGAGGAUGUAAAUUAAGUAAUGAAAAAUUGAGUCUUUUUUUUUACAGAAUUGUAGGAAGUGGAUUGAGUAGGAAAAUUCAUUUGGGCCAGUUUGUGUUUCACUUCUUGGGAGAUACAGCUAAGUGGGCCUAUAAUAAAAAAAAAUAGGCAUGUAAACGGACCAUGCUAGCCCAAACCAUCUUAACUUGCCCUAGUGGGCCUUUGGAAUUGCUCCAACGCCUACUCACUUUCCUUGGGUCAUAAGUUGUGCAAUUUUUAUUUUUUUUUUAAAAUGUUUGUGUUAGUAUAAUGUUUGUCUCUUACAAAAAUUGAAAAUGGGUGAAAUAUAAUUAAAUAAUAAAAAGAAAAAUAAGUGAAACCCAAUAGAUGAAACUUAGUAAGUGAUAAAUUUUGGAAACGAUACAUUUACUUGAUAAUUAUUUGAAAAAAUAAAAUAAAAUUGACUUAUGUUAUCAUAAUAACAAAUAAUAUAUUCAUUUGAAGUUUGAACCCAACAAUCAUAUUGUAAGUGAGUGUCCUAUUAAUUUAGUCUAUCAUAUGAUGUUCUCAUCUUCAUUAAAAGUAUACUAUUUGCAUUUGCAGAGAAGUAAAAAGUAUAUUCCAACUAAAAUAUUUAUGCAAGUUAAUUUUAUAACAUACACAUUGUUAUGCAGGGAAGAAACCAAGCCUUCAUCAUUUCCAUGUUUGGGGAUGUAAGGCUGAGGUUAGGCCAUAUAAUCCACAGUCAAAGAAACUUGAUCCUAAAACCAUCAGUGGUUUCUUUGAUGGUUAUUGCAUUGGAUCAAGGGGUUCCAGAUUUUAUUGUCCAUCUCAUACCACCAGGAUCAUUGAGUUAGACAGGGUUGUAUAUUUUGAAGAUGUGAGCUCUGUUGAUGAAAGAUCUAGUGGUAUUUGAAGUUUGAUAAGAUUAUCACCCAAAAUGGCUUUAAAGAUAAUACAGUUGACAGAUGCAUAUAUUUGAGGGUCAGUGGGAGUAGUUACAUAUUUCUUGUUUUAUAUGUUGAUGAUAUACUACUCGCAUCAAAUGAUCCUGACUUGUUGAUUGAGACAAAGCACAUGUUGUUAACCCAUUUUGACAUGAAGGAUCUUGGUGAGGCUUCUUAUGUCUUGGGCAUAAAGAUUCUUCGUGAUAGGGCUAAUGGAGUGCUUAAAUUGUCUCAAAGAGCCUAUAUUGAAAAGAUAUUGAAGAGGUUCAAUAUGCACAAUUGUAAAUCUAAUAAAGCGCCAAUUGUGAAGGGUGAUAAAUUUUCAAAGGCUCAGUGUCCUCAAAAUGAUGAUGAGAGAGAGGAAAUGAAGACCAUUCCUUAUUCAUCUGUGGUGGGCAGCCUUAUGUAUGCUCAAGUAUGUACACGCCCUGAUAUUGCUUUUGUUGUGGGCAUGUUGGGAAGGUACUUGAGCAAUCCUGGGAGUCAACAUUGGAAAGCAGCUAAGAAGGUCCUUAGGUAUUUGCAAGGAACUAAGGACUUAAUGUUGAAAUAUUAGCGCACCAACUUACUUGAUGUAGUUGGGUUUUGUGAUGCUGAUUUUGCUGGCUGCAUAGAUGAUAAGAAAUCCACUACGGGCUAUAUUUUUAUGAUGGCAGGAGGAGCUGUAUCUUGGAAAAGUGUCAAGCAGACACUUACAGCAUCCUCAACUAUGGAGGCAAAGUAUGUGGCAUGUUAUGAGGCUUGUUGUCAUGCUAUGUGGAUACGGAAUUUUAUUUCAGCUUUGGGAGUUGUUGACUCCAUUUCUAGACCGCUGAAAUUAUUUUGUGAUAAUUCUGCAGCUGUUGCUUUCUCCAAGAACACUAGGAGUAUUUCUCGCUCCAAACAUAUUGAUGUAAAGUUUUAUUUUAUUAAGGAGAAAGUGGCAGAGUCUCUUAUUGAUAUUGAACACAUGUCCACAAAAAGUAUGUUGGCGGAUCCAUUGACAAAAGGCUUACCCAUAAUUGCGUUUCAGGAACAUGUAUCUCAAAUGGGGUUAUUGGAAGCCUAGGUUGUAUUAAGUUAGUGGGAGCCAUUUUUUGGUAUUGUAAUACUAUGUUAUUGUUGAAAGUAUUGCUAUUAUUGUACAUUUCCCUAUGAAUCAAGCAAUGAAGCAUAUAUGAUUGCUUUUGAUUAUUUAUUUCUGAUGAGAUUUUAUGGGACAUUGAUUUAUGAUUAUGUGUAUGUUGUAAUGUUUGAUUAUGUAGUCCAAGUGGGAGAUUGUUGGAAUUUUUAUGUGUGGACUUACAUAAUCAAUUUAAUAAUGUCAUAAAUCAGUGUUAUUUAUUUUUCCAUUGUGGUCCAUAAUGGGACUGGACACAUAUUGUUGCUUGAUUUUUUUAUGGGCUCACCCUAAUUCACUUGACUAGCCCAUUAAGUCAAGUGGUGGUCCAAAUAAUGUGUGUGAUAUAUAUAUAUAUGAAAGAAAAGAGAGGGCUCUCCAACUGGCUGACUGGCUCCCUGCUCCUUCCUCCUUUGGCUGAAAGAGAGCACGCACUCUCGUUUUGGACUGAAUCUGGGUGUAGAAGGGAAGAGCUCAUUAACCCGUAAUUCUCGCACCAUCAAGCACUGGAGGAGCUUCCUGAAUACCAGAAAAGAGCAAGAAAUGGUCUUUCACGGAAUUAACCAAGGUGAACGUUUCCGUUUUUGCCGUUCAAUGCAUGCUUAAAUGUCAACAUGUGAUCCUAUGCUGUUUAAAUUUUCUUCAUGUAAUUCUGAGAGCAAUUUUUUUUUUUUUUUUUUUUUUGUGUAAAGAGAGAAAGUGUCAGGAAAAUCAGAUAGAAAAUACGGAGCGAAAUGCAAUAAAUUUUUGGUUUGAUAAAGAGAAGCUUUCUUGAACAAGAUCUAUCAAAGAAAAACUGAUCUGGAAGACCAAAAAUUGCAACAAGUGGUAUCAGAGCGGUUCAAGAAAUGGGAUCUGCGAAGUUCGAUACUGAAAAGUUCUGUGGUGAAGCAUUCUUCAAUCAGGAUGAUCUUAGCUUUGGUUUCUGAUAGAAACAUGGAAUUGGAGCAGCUAGAUGUCAAAACAGCAUUCCUACAUGAUGAACUGGGAGAGACAGUUUAUAUGCAACAACCUGAGGGGUUUGUGAAGGACAAAAACAAGGUAUGCUUAUUAAGAAAGUCUUUAUAUCCUAGACAGUGGUACAACUACAAGCGUUUUGAUGAGUAUAUGCUGCAUAUUGGUUUCACUAGGAGUAAGUUCGAUGGUUGUGUUUAUAUCAAAUUUGAGAAUGAUCAGAUUUGGGAUGAAAGAUGCUAAACCAGUUUCUACACCCAUGGUGCAUCAUUUUAAGCUAACAUCAUCUCAGUCUCCAAGUACUGAUGAAGAGGAGAAGUUUAUGGCGAUUUGGCCUAUGUUGUGAGUUUGGUUAGUAGAGGUUCAUGGGAAACCCGGGGAAGACCCAUUGGGAGGCUUUGAAAUGGAUACUAAGGUAUCUAAAGGGAACACAGACAAAGCUGGAAGUAGAGGUGACAAUGCUAAAUACAAGAAAGUAAGGUAAGGCAUACCUCGCCAUGCUCUGCCUUGCUUCAGUUCUGCUUCUCUUGCCUGCCUGCCUUCGAUUCUGCGAGAGAUGAGAUGAGUUGAUAUUGAUUCUGCAAUAUUGAAUCUGACUUGAUGACUAUUCGCAUAUUGAAUCCAACAAUCCUGCUCCCUCUGCUCGUACCAACCUCUGCACUUUACAACUUUACAUUGUGUGAAUGGACUCCAACAUCUGCUCGUACCAACCUCUGCACUUUCCAUUGUGUGAAUGGACUCCAACCUCUGCUCGUACCAACCUCUGCUCGUAUAUUUCGAGUAUUCGCAUAUUGAAUCCAACCUCACAUAUAUGACGCACUUUACAUUGUGUGAAUGGACUCCAACUUUACAAAUUGAUUCCAAUAUUACAUAUUACAUUGUCUUUGCUCACAUUUUCGGAAUCAAUAUUACAUUGUGUGAAUGGAACCCCCGUUCCGUUACCUGUUUUGGAAAUCUUCAUAUCACUUUUCAUUCUCCAAUCCUUACACUUCCUUGAAUAAAAUCAAAGUUUUAUUAAAUAUAUAUAAUAUUUUUAGUUUUGAAGUGAUGUGGGAUAAAUAGUUUUUAUUUCUUUUGAAUCACCGAGACAACAGAAUAUCAUAGAAAAAAAAAACCAAAUAUAUAUAUAUAUAUAGAAAAAGGUCACUCAAAAAAAAAGAAAUCCAUAAAAUUUAAAAACUCUUAUUCAAAUAAAUCUCUACACUACCAUGAAAUAUAUUUAUAUAAAAAAAAAAUGAAAAUCUCUACCACACUCUAACAAUGUAAACCAUUAACACAUAAUACUAAUUUAUACAUUAUUUAUUUUUAUCAUUAAUCAUUAAUCAUUUUUUUAUUCUUCAUUUGCUCAUUAUAUCUCCUCUUAAUUGAUGUAAGUUGAGAUAUACUUCUCUUUCAUUUUUAGCAUCUUUAAUUGUGUCAUUUAAUUUUACUUCUUGAAAAUAAAGAUACAUUCAUAAUAAAAUUUACAAAAAAAAUAAAUAAAUACAAAUAUAUCCAAGAAAAGAUUUCAUAGUUUAAAAUGUUUUUGAUAAAUAUAAAUUUGUUAUUGAAUUUUAUUAUUAAGUUUUAAAGUUGGAAACAAUAACAAGAUAUGAUUUUUUUUUAAUUCUAUUAUUUAACAAAAAAAAAAACUCUCAAAAUAUAUAUUUUUUAAAUAAAAAAAUAUUUAAAAUUAUGUGUGAGAGUAUUGUUAUCUAUUUAUUUCUUUUUUUUCAUUCUCGUUUUGAUUGUUACCAAACAUUGGUAUGAAAAUAAACAAUCAUUCUAAUCUAAGUAAUCUUACAUUUGUAAGUGUAUUGAAACACAAAUUAAAAUCAUUAAAUUCAUUCAUAUUCACAUAUAAAUAAGAAUCGGAAUAAAAUGUUCAAUUUUAUGCCUCAUUUUCAUAUAUCAAAUAUGCCUUUAUAAUAUUGUAUUAUUGAACAUUUUCUUUUUAUUCACAAGACAAUUGAAGUACAAAAUAAAAACAAAAUGUUAGAAUAUGCUAAAAGUAGUGGUUGAUAAACUAAAAAUUAAAUAUUAAAUUUUAGUGUUUAAUGAUAAAUAAAUAAAGUCUAAAAACUAUUUAUUUUUCAAAUUUUUUCUUUUAUUUAACCACCAUCAUUUUUAAUUGGACUAGGUUCCACGUGCUAAAAGCAUAUAUUGAUAGAUGAAAUUAUUAACAUUGAGCUCACUUGUUCCUACUUCCUAGAAGGAUGAAGGGGAUUAAGACUUAGAUGAUGUUUGUUUUUUUUAGUUUUUUGUUGAAAACAAUUUGCUUUUAGAAUUUAUGUUGUUUGUUUUUAUAAUUUUUUUUAUAACUUGCUAUAAAUUUUUUGCUGAAUAAAAAAUACUAAAAUAUUUUGAAUCUUUCUAAAUAAAAAAAGUAAUAUGUUGAUUUUUCUUUACUUUUUAAUAUUCAAUAAAAAUAAAAUAUUAAAAAAAUAAACAAUCUAAUGUUUAAUAAUAUUAAAAAUUAAAGUUCUAUUUAAAUUACCUAACGCUCUACAAUUCUGUAAUGCUUAAGAGAUGAAAAAACUCAUAUUUUAAUGAGAUAAAAUAUAAGUCGAUAAAUAUUUCAUUCCCCGAUUGAUAUAAGAUAAAUUCUUUUAAAUGAUGUAAACUACAUGAGAAUUUUAUAUAUGAAAAAAAAAAUUAAGAAGAAAAAUAUAACAGCCAUUUAACAUUAUAGUUCUCAAAUCGUUUUUAUAUAAUAGUUUUUUUUUUAAUUUCUCAUUUAUUUUCAUAAACAAAAUUAUUUGAGAACUCAAAUAUGAAAAUAAAAAUUUCAACUUAUGCAUUUACUCAUAUAUAUAUAUAUAUAUAUCUAUAAUACAAUUUUUUUUUAUAGAGAAUUCGUCAUAUUUUUAAUUAUGGUAUAUAAUAUUUCAUAAAAAUAAUUAAAAACACCUCAAAUUUAUUUUUUAUUUAAAAAUUUAAAACAUAUUUUCAAAAUACUAUUUUCUAUAAAAAAAAUUAUUAAAUUUGUUUUUGACUUUAAAAACUACUAUCUAUUUUAAAGAAUAAAUAAAACUCAAAAAUAAUUUUCAAAAUAGGCCAUAAUAUACUAUUUCAAUAUAAAACUUAAUAAUACAAUUAAUUAUUGGAACGUAAAAUCAUAUUUGGGACUAAACCCAAAAGGAAAAUAAUCCAAUUAAUAAGCUUUAAAAUGAAAUGAAUGGAUUUCAAUUAAUGAAAAAGUUGGUAUAAAAAAGAAUUGAGGCGAAAGAAAUUCUUUCCCUAUGAAGGGACAAAAAAAGAAAUAUAUUUUUUUUCUUAUUUUAAUCACACGGUAAAUCAUGCCGUUUGUUGUUUGUUUUUCUUUAAUUAAUUCAGUUUUUUUUUAUUUAGUAAAAAAUGUAUAAUAAGUUAUGUACAAAUAGAAAAAUAAAUCAUGUAAAAUUUGAAAACAAAUUAUUUUUGACAAAAAGUAAAAAAAGAAACCCAUCAUUUAUUUAAAAUUAUAAAAAUAGUAAAUUAAUUUAACAAAAAUAAAGGGGAUAUAAGUAUUGUGAACUUCUUACUCUUCUUAAAAAUGAAAAUUUUACUUAUAUUAUUUAAAAAUUUAAAGAAUGUAUUAAUUACAUUUUUUUCUUUAAAUUCCUUUAUUAUUCAACCAUCAAUUAUAAAAUUAAAAUAAAAGUAAUUGAGAAGAAAAUUCCAGAAUUCACUCAAGAAGAAGAAUGAUUCAUCUUAGCAAAAUUCUUUUUAUUUAUUUUUUUUUUCUCUCUCUCCUUUCAUUUCAUGCAAAUCACGUUAAAUUGAGAAGAAAAAAAAAUCAUGCAUAUUUGAUAUAUUUUUUUCCUGAGAACAUUCUAACUAAAAAAUAAUAAAAAUCCAUGGAAUUAAAUAAGAUAAGGGUAACGGUGGAAAAGAUGAAAUUGUGGCUCAAUGUAAUGAAAUUAAAAUCCCAUGAAAUUCCACCAAAUUUUUUUUAAGGAAUUGAAAACUUAAAUUUCUUCCUCCUAAGCCCUUUCAAAUCUUUUCUCUUUGAUGAUUUCACAUCAAUUCUUUGCUUUUCUGUCCAGAUUUCUCAAUUCCAAAUACAGCAAAACGGAAAUUAAAAUUAUCCCUACAUCGAACCAUAAACAUUUUAUACUCAUUAUUUUAUUAAGUGUGACAAACUAUUUAGAAGAGAUAACAUAUAAAUAUACCAUCCAAGAAAUUUAGUAUAUUGAUAUUAAAAUUAAGUCUAAUCUGUCCUUAUUCUAAUUAGCUGAAAUAUAUGUGAAAUAUAGUACUUAUCUAACAUGAUAAAAAAAUACUAAUAGUAAUUAAAAAUGUUUAUCAAAUGGUUUAAACUAAAAUAAUUAACCACUUUUGAGAUUAUGGUAUAAAUUAUGAAAAUUGAAAAUGUACAUAGGGCACCACUUAAUUGGUAAUAAUUUUUAAAAGUACAUUUUCCUACUCUAGGUAGGUGUAAACCAAUAUGAAGUUAUGAUGUACAUGUUAAAUAUAUAUUUUCUAUUUCUAUAUAUUUAGGAUUUCUUGAGUUUUGUUUAAAGUUAUGAUUUGUUGAAAAUUUAUUGUUAUAACUUUAAAGUAAUUUGUUAUUGUUAUAAAGAAUUGUAGUGGUACCUAUUGAACUCCAAAUGUGGACAAUUGAAUAUGUAUGUUGAAAUAUAGGUCAUAAAAUUAGGGUAUAAACAAAUUAAAUCAAAGUAUAAAAAUAUAAAUAAAUGAGAUUAUGAUGCAAAUAAUGGAAUUUGAAAAUGUAUAUGAGACAUCAGUUAAUUGGUGAUGAUUUUUAAAAGUAUAUUUCUAUAUUAUAGGUGGGUCCAAAUCAAUACGAAGUUAUGGUGUACAAGUUAAAUAUAUAUUUUUUAUUUCUACAUAUUUAGGAUUUCUUGAGUUUUAUUUACAAUUAUGAUUAAUUAAAAUUUUUUUGUUAUAACUUGAAGACUAUUUUUUUCUAUUUAAGAAAGGUUAACAACAAAAAGUAAAUAAAGUAAAACAUGAUUUUUUUUUUUCUUUUUUUAUUCUCUUCUCACUAACCAAUACCAAUAAAAAAACCCCCUUAAAAUAUGAUUUUUUUUAAAAAUUAUAUGUUUUUAUGAAUUUCUUUUGACUUAUUUUAAAAAUAUAUAUAUGUUAAGCAAGUAGAUUCCAAAUCAAGUAACAAUCGAUGCAAAAAAAAUAUUAAUUUUCAAAAAUAAUUUGAAACUAAAAAAUGGUUCAAUUAAUAUUAGAAAGUCAUGGAACUCAAAAUCUAUCAAAUUAACACUAGAAAGUCACAAACCUAAGCUCAUUUUGAAUGACUUUCCUAUUUUUUUCUACAUACAAUCAUAAUUUUAUUAAUUUUUUCACUAGAUAAAUAAACUUCAAAUUAAGCAAAAAUUAAUGCAUUGAAUUUGCUACCAAGUCUAGUAAUUUUAAUAAAUAAUUUUAAAACUUAAAUAACGAUUUAAUAAAUAUCAUAAAUUUCUAAAUAAAAAUUGAUUUGACUUUAUUAUUUUUCUUUUGCAUAGAACAAUAUUUUCUUUUCAAUUUUUUCACCCAAAGAAAAUUAACAUAUUGCUAAUAUUUUGUUGAAAAAUCAACAAUGGGUAAUUUGGAAUUUUGAUUUAGAUAAUCUUAUUUUUUAAAUUAUUUAUAAAAAUAUGACAUUUUAAAAUCUUUUUUUAUUUAAAAAAAUGAUAUAUAUCAUCUUUGAUAUUUUAUUCUUUUCUUAUUUUAGGUAAAAACAUCUUUUCAAAAUGAGAUUUUAAUAUGAACAUAAUUUAUAAGUUUACACUGAAGUUUGUCUUUUUAAAAUAGCAAUUUUAACAUUAAGCAAAAGGAAAUUUUAGUAUUUUUUAAAUUUAAUGAUUUUUAUUGUGUUCUAUUUUUUAAUAUAUAUAUAUAUAUAUAUAUAUAUAUAUAUAGUUUUGAAAAAAAAACCAAUAUAAUUUAAUUUAACCAAUAAAUCAUAGGUUAAAAUAAAACAAAUAAAUAAGUUAACACAAGCCCAAGCCAAGAAGGGAUGUCUUCCCAUGUGCAUGGACAUGGGCAGCCCGAUUAAAUGAUUUUUGGUUUAACUUUUUCUUGAAACUUGAGAAAUUUGAGAAAAAAAUGUAAGGAAAAAAAUAGAAAAAGAAAAGAAAAAAGAUUUAAAAUUAAUAAAUUAUUUUCUUAUGUUAUUUUAAGCUAAUUUUACAAUCUUUAUAGCGAUUAAAUAAUUUUAAAAUAUAUAAAUUUUCAACUAUUUUUAAUUAUAUUUAAUUUAAUUAGAUAUUUUUUUAUAAUAAAAUCAAGAAAAUAAUUUUAUUUUUUUAAAACUUUUUUCAUCUUUCCUUCGUAGUUCUUUAUUGUUUUUGUUAUAUUAGUUCCAUAAUAAAGUAUAUGAUGUCCAUAGGAUCCAUAAUGUAACUUCCCAAAAGUUGCUCAACCUAUACAUUCCUCAAUUGAUUUUUGUGGUGUUAAUCAGUUUUAGUCUUUUUUAGAUUUUUCAUUGUUUGGGAAUACAGAAAUUGAAUUGUGAUAGAUAAGAGGAGUGAUUGGAAAUUUGAAAAGAGAAUUGCAAAAAUUUUAGUUCUAUUUCUCCUGCAGUCAAACCCUAAAAUGAGAAUUAAGAUUUAUGAAUUGUGCAAUUCAUGACGGAUCUCUUGCAUAUAUUUUCUAAAUACUCUCCUUCUUGGGUUACGCUUAAGCAUUAAACUAAUCUCUCAUAUCAUUAUUAUUUGACUUUUUCAAAAUCCUCUUUCAUUCUUUUACUUUAUAUUAAUUAAGGUUUACGAUAGAAUGUCUUGUCUUAACAUGGUUAUUUGGCUUUGGCAACUAUGCUGCAGCCUUCAAUUGUUUCCACCGUUGGAUUUGGGCUUUGGUAGGAUUCCCAUCUUUGUUGUCGGUCGCCAGCCACCAUUGUUGACGUCCUGCUGUGGAAAUAGAUAAAGGAACGUCUUAAAUAAGGGAUUUUUUUAUCAAAAAUAUAAAAAAAAAACUGUCUUUUUCAUAAAAUAUUUAUUAGAAUAUGAUAAUUUUGAAACUAUUUCCAAAUAAGUAUGGAUUUGAAAAAAGCUUGUGAUUUGAGAUUUGAAAGUCUCACUUAAGAAUCUAAUAUUCAAAAUAGUAAGAUAGUUUGUGAUUUGAAAUUUGAAGGUUUGUUAAUCAUAACUAUUAUAGAAUAGACAAAUAUUAUAAAAUAGGCACCUAAGAAGUUUAGGACACCACCGUCCAUACAUGCAGACUUCUUAUCUUUGUUACUGAUUUUGCUCUACUUUCCUAUGGAUUAAGAUGUAACUUAUUAUUAGAAUACCGUUGGAAAGCUCAGAACCUCAAACUUCAAAAGUUAUUCAACUGCUGAAAGUGAUCUACACAGUUCAAAACAGAGCAAGCUUUCCAGUUGAAGUAUCAAAGUUAUGCACCAUAUUCUUCCAAAGAACCCUUUUCUAAGCUUCUUUCUCUCAGGACGGUUUCCUAUGCUUUUACUAACAACAACAUUCAAGAAAUUGGGGUUUGCAUUUUUUAAAAGAGCAUAUUCAGCUCCGGGAAGGAUUUCUUGAGUAAAAAGGAACAAAAAUAGAUCCUAAAUGUUCCCCAGAUUUUCCAACUUGAGACACUACUGAAUUACACUAGCUUGAGUUACACUACUAUCAUUGUGCCAGGAUCUAUGUAAUGCAGGCACUGACACCUCAGCAGGAAGCAUGCAAUGGGCAAUAGCCAAGUUCAUUAACUAUCCUGAUGCAUUCAUGAUCUCUACAAAGAUAUGUGGUAGAUGGAAAAUAGGAACUGAUCCCUAAAACAGAAAAGAAUGUGUGAACCUUCCUAAAAUACAUCAAUUACAGUAAUAAAAUUGAUUUGACUUCCUAAACUUGCCACCAGAACCAGAUAUCUCAAACCUUCCCUACUUGCAAGCAGUUGUGAAAGAAACACUUAGACUGUACCUUACUUGACCUGUGACAAGGAGAAACACUGCAAAAUUGUAUAAUUAGUUGAUUCAAUAUGCCUGAAGAAACUGCAGUAGCAAUCAAUCUCUAUGCUAGCAUGAAAGACUGUGAGAAAUGCAAUGAUCCUAAUGAGUUCCGCUACAGGUGUUCUUGGUUUCCUCAAAAGAACAAGUGGAUUUUGAACAAAAACUAAAGAAAAAACAUCAAUUUUGUCCCAUUUGGCGGCAGGAGGAGAGGCUGCCCAGGGACAUUGUUGGUAUCCAGUUUGAUGCAUACUACGGUUGCUGCUGUUCAAUGCUUUGAUUAGAAGGCUGGUGGAGUUGGACAUGGGGCUAAGUUGAUAUGCACUCUAGCCAGGCAUGUCCUUGAGCAUGGUUCACUCAUUCAUGUCAUCCCAUAGUUAACUGUAACCCUUUUGAGGGAUAUGUCUGGGUAUUUGAUUCUACAACGGAUGCUAUUAUCAUCUGUCCCAAGUGUUUCAAUGCUCUCUAGCUAUAUCUGAACACUUGUUCCAUGACUAAGAAUGAAUUAUAUAUAACAAGACAUAGUUUCUUAUUGUAUGUUAUUGGCUGAUCAGCCAAGGCUGACUAUAGGACUCCAGAGCCUCGGCCACGAAUCGUAUCACCUAGUUGGAAACCGAUAGUCAUUCCAGAAGUCUAUUGAUUCACCAUUUCCCACAAGGUUCCAGGGAAAAGACAAUAAUUUAAACCAACUUUGGAAACCUUUAAUGUUCAUUGUCUAGAGUUAGACAACCUUUUGUUUAAAAAAGGUCGUUAUAAGGAUUUAUACGAUACAAUAAGUAAAGCUCUUUAAUUUGAGGCCAAGAUUACAGUUCAAGUAGAACAAACAAUGCUUACUAAAGGAGUAGAACCAAAACAAAUUUGAAAAGCUCUUCCAAUCAAAUCGAUGACUCCAUUACACUUAAAUUGUUUGUCAACAUUUAUUUCCCUAUUGGUCUUAAAGACAAAAGCAUGCCACAUGAGGUUUUGUCCUCAAUGGAGUUGGGGAUUCAAUCUUUUGUACAAACCAAAAAGACUUCAUCAAGAUGGGCUUAUCGUUAAAUCCUAAACAUUCUAAAAACAUUAUAUCCCAGAUACCUUGACUUAAAACUGCACAUUCUUUGAAACAACAGGCAUUAGAAGCUUACAAUUCUAAAUUUAUAAAGGACAUCUGAUUUUUUGCUAAAUGCAUGGUUAAAAAUAUUGAAUUCAAGCCGAGACAAACGUUAAAAAUCCAACAACCAAAGGCGUGCCAGAUGGCAACAGAUCACCUCUCUAAACAUCUAUUUCUAAAGGGAAAAUACUAGACUUCUUUUGCUGUUCUAAGUAACAAGACUUGGCUAGCCACUUUGGUUAGAUCAGGUAUACUAAAUUCAGGCAGUUUUGACCCUCAAAACAGAAUAUAGGUAAUCUGUUAUUUAUAUCACUGUGAAAAACAGAACACAUAUCAUAAUAGAGAUUCACCCCCACACCUUAAUUUAGAAAACUAGCUCACCCCCCUUUAAGGGUGGUGUGUUGCUGAUCCUCCCUAUAUAAAUCUCUAGUCCUUUUUUUUAUUUGAGACACCAAAUUCCACAACCUACAUUUAGUACUCUCCAAUGUCAUUGUUAUCUAUUCACCUUCUCUUGGUUUUCUAUGUCUUUGGUACUAGCAGAUACACUAAUUACUUUCCAUUUCCUGUGACGCUUGGUUGAUCUACACAUCUAAAUAUAAGUAGUAAUGUUGUAUCAUGUUCUUUAUUCUUCUCAAGUGUUGAUGCGAUGAUUUUCACAUUACAAAAUAGAUGCAGGAAAACUAUAUGGUCGGGGAUCACACCUGGAUCUGGAAAACCUCAACUAAUGGAUGGUGGGCUUGAAUUAAGACCAGGUAAAUCUGUAGAUAUCAAUGCCACACAAGGGUGGUCAGGCCAUUUUUGGGGCCACUGUAGUUGUUCAUUUGACAACUCAGGAAAGGGAAGCUGUGUCACUGGUGAUUGUGGUGGUGUGCUAAAAUGUGCUGGGGCAGGUGGUAGGUGGCGCACCACUUGCAACACUUGCAGAGUUUACCCUUGAUAGUAGAUUUUUAUGAUGUUAGCCUAGUUGAUGGAUACAACGUGCCAGUGUCAAUAUUCCCUUCCGGUGUGUUUGGUGAGUGCAAGGCAAUGACAUGUGUUUCAGACUUGAAUCAGAGAUGCCCCAAGGACCUGUAAAUUCUAAGGAAUGGUACUGUUGUAGCUUGUAACAGUGCAUGCAUGGCAUUCAACAAACCUGAGUACUGCUGCUCUAGAGCCUACAGGACACCUGAGACCUGCAAACCAACAGAGUAUUCUAAAGUGUUCAAGGCUUCUUGUCCUACAUCUUAAAGCUAUGCAUAUGACAACCCAACAAGCACUUUCACAUGCAACUGAGCUAAUUACUUGAUUAGAUUUUGUUAAAAUUUAUUUCUAAAAAGAGAAGAACCCUUAUAUGUACAGAACAUUUGAACAUCAUAUAAGCACAAUCCAUGAAGAUAUGUUUAUACUACAGGUAGGCAAUAUAUUUGGACCUUAUGAAAGUAGAUUGGAUAGAAAUGAAUUCCAGUACACUUGUGAACACAAAGAAAACCCAGAUUCAUGAUUCUUCUUGUUAUGGAUGGAUGGACUAGUUAUGACUUGGGAUUUACCUAGACAUGCUAGGCACCUAAGGAGUGUAGGACACCGCCAUCUAUACAUGCAUGUUUAUCUCUGUUGUUAUUAUUUUUGCUCUUCUUUCCUAAUGAUUAAGAUGUAACUUAUAGGUAGAAUACUGCCAGAAAGCUUUGAACCUCAAACCUCAAAAGUUAUUCAACUAGCCAAGCAACUGCUGAAAGCGAUCUACAUAGUUCAAAAUAGAGCACACUAUUCUGCCAAAGAACCUUUUGCAAAGCUUCUUUCUUUCAGGAUGUUUUUAUAUGGUUCCAAUUAAACAACAUUCGAGAAAUUGGAGUUUGGCCUUUUUUUUGUCAUUAGUUGGAUUUGGAAAGAGAGUAUUCCUAUCUAGCAAGUCAUUGCUUGUGCAUAGAGGGACGAAAAUAGAUCCUAAUUGUUGUAGUUGUCUUUACCAUUAUGAAGCCAAUUCAAAUGAUCCUAAGAUAUCUAGAGUAUUUAUAGGGUAAUAUUCCCUAAUCAAAUGAAGAGAAGGGAGAUGAGAAUGGUUAAUUAAGAUUUAAAACAUGAGAUGCAGUAACAAUAGAGGUGAAGAGUUUGUCUCUUUUGCAAAGUUGAAAUCAUUCCUUAGUUCAUAUUGGAUUUGGUGUACUAGAAAUGAACUUGAUUUAGACAAAAUAAUCCAACUUCUGGUCAGAUCACUGAAAAAUUGCUAGAAUCUAAGGUCAUGAGAAAAUUCAGUUCUUUUAAGUCAAGAUACCGCAUAUGACUUUUGGGUUAAAACCUAUAAGGUUGUUUGGUGGAUUCCACAUGGUGAGGACUAGUUCAAACUAAAAUCAAUGGGUCAAAAAAGAGAUACAAGGUACUAUAGCUGGUUAAUGUAUAAAUGAAUCAUAUUAAUUGUUUGAAGUAACAAGAUUCUGGAAGAAGAAAAACAAAAUGACAAGACCAUAAAUAACUUACAGUAAGUGUUGCUCCAAGAUAUCUAUGCGUGUGCCCUCUGAAGAAAUCCGAUGAUGAUCAAGAAGCCAGGCUGUUUUAGAACUUGAGAAACCCAACCAACAGAGACUGCAGUUUCAACCAUAAACAUUGCCAUUGAUCACAAAGCCAUGGAGGUGUCGUGCCUACAAUCACUCAAUUCACAGCCUCCUUAGGCCCUGUCCAAAUGGGAAUGUGUCAUGAACAGAGAAUUGAGGACUUUGCUUCAUAAUGUUUAGAGAUAAUUAUAGGAAGAUGAUCCUUCAGUUUCGAGUUCUUAGUCAUCUUGAACAGAUCAAUGAGCAUUCAAUUGUUCAGCACCCAAGAAUCUACCCUUCCUCUAAUUCCACCACUGGGAAAACUCUAACAAGAUCUGACCAAUCUAUUCUUUCUUCAGAUUUCACUUCCUGGGAAAAGUCACCUUCCCAAUCAAGAAAAUCAUCAGGAUUAAUUUGAGCAAAUAUAUCAGAGUAUACAUCAAGCAAGCCUUGAUCAAAAUCAAAAUCCAUGUUUUCACCUGGCUCCUUCUUCUGGGGGCUGGACUGUGGCUUAUUAGCUUCUGUCGAUUUCACAUGCUUCAUGAGAUCUAGAACCUAAGGAUCUGAAGAACCACCAUAUUCUUUUAUUUACUCUUCCCUGAAUGAAAUGCCUUUUGAACUUGGGGGAUCAAUGGCAACAGACUCCUUAAGCUCUGGUUGAUGACAAUAGGGAUUGGCAUCCUUAAUGACAUUGAAAUCAUAGCUAUGUGAAGGGAGGAAAACAUGAAUCCGAGGGUACUCCAAAAUAACUAAAUUGGCUAAUUGUUGUCUUACUGGAGCUCUUAUAUCCAACUCACGGAAUGGUAAUCUGGGGUCCUACAGCGACAUGGAAGAAUUAGAUUUUUUUCUAGAUAUAAAUUUUUUUCUUGUUCACAAGGGGAAAAAAAUGUUUUGAUAGUGGUUUUUUUUUUUUUUAAUACUAUAAAGAGAGGAAAGUUAUAUACAAGGAAAUGCUACAGAGAGAAAAUAUUUGGGUAGACAUCAAGUAAUGGCUGGAGUUCAGGUGGGAAUAGUAGAAAAUUCUUUUCAUAGGUAACAUGGGUGCAGUAGAAUUAAAGGAAAAACAGAAACCCAAAUAGGUCAUCCAUCAAUAACCCAAUUCAGUCUCAACCCAGGAUGCUCAUUUCCCAAAUCCAAGGAAAAAAAAUGUAAAUUCAGGUAUUUUGUUAUGGACCAGUUGGGUGACCAAAUAUUUUACCCACCAUAAACCAUUAUUUGGACCAUAGAACCAGAGAGACAAGUAUAAUAUUUUGGUUAUCAAUGCACUGCGUGUUGCAAGUUGAGCAAAUCUUAGCCUCUCUUUUUCAAAGAUUUCAGCAGCAGAGCCUAGCAUAAAUGGACCAUCUCCAAAGAGGACGGACAAUAAACCACAAUAAAAAAACAGUGAUCCAAUUAACAAAUAGUGCAUGGAUGAUGUGCUAUACCUAAGCUGCCAUUUUGGCUCAUGGCCUCAACACUAGGUCAAUGAAACCCAACAAUAAAGCUGGGUUCGGCACAGUUGGAUUCCUAAACAAGUUGCCCCAGCUCCAUAAGGGCCAAGACAAUCCAAUAAAUUAUUUUUUUUGAUAAGUAAAGAAAAUUCAUUUAAAAAGAGACGCCUAAAGAGCGACUCAAGGUAUACAGUCUAUGUAAGGUAUACAAACCUAUACACCCGCCACCAAAAGAGACCAAAAACAUAUAAAGACCCACCCACCAAAAGGCCCAACCUCUUACAAUGAUCCCACCCAAUCUAUAAAAUUCACCAAAGUUUGAGGGCAUUCUACUAUAAACAGCUUUGCCUCAGACCAAAGCGAGCAUAAAAAGGAAUAUUUCAACCUCUGUAUUGAUAUAACAUCAUCCUUGAAGGCUAAACGAUUUCUCGCCUUCCAAACCGUCCAAAAAAUAUGCAAGGGCGCCGCCCUCCACACUUUCCUGUGUUUCUUGCCCACAGAAGAAGUCUGCCAACUAAGCAAAGUCUCUCUAACUGAACACGGCAUCACCCAAGACACCCCAAACAAAGAAAAAAGCAACUCCCAUAAGACUCUUGUUUUGGAGCAGUGGAGCAACAGAUGAUCUAUGGUCUCCUCCUUUUCCAUACACAUGUAACAUCUAUUAGCCAAUGACCAUCCUCUUCUCUGAACAAGAUCUAGGGUAAGCGCCUUGCCCCAUGCGGCCUCCCACGCAAAAAAGCUGAUUUUGGGUUGUACCCACACCUUCCAAAUGCAGCUAGAUGGGAAAGAACUAGGGCAGUCCGCUUCUAGAGCAAGGUAUAGAGACUUAGCCGAAAAAAUACCACUCUUUGUUUCAGUCCAAACUACCUUAUCAUCUUCGUCGCCAAUGACUCUCUUCCCAUGAAGACACCCCAAAAAUAAUUCCGCCUCCUCCAUCUCCCAAUCAUUUAGGGCUCUUGAAAAACAAGGGUUCCAACCCCCUCUACCCCCUUGUACCAAGGGAUCCCAAACAUCCGCCACCCAAGCUUCCUUUUCAAUCGAUAAGGCAUAGAUGGAAGGAAACGAAUCGCACAGAGGGGCAUCCCCACACCAUCUAUCCCUCCAAAAGCUCACCCUCCUCCCAUUGCCAACACUAAAAGAAAUCCGCUCACCCACCAAAUCCCAGUCCAUCCUUAUCGCUUUCCAAAGCCCCACGCCAUGCGCCUCUCUCACUUCCCGCGUGCGCCAACCCCCUCUAUCUUCCCCAUACUUCCCUCUAAUCACUUGAUUCCACAAAGCCUCUCUCUCGUUUGCAAAACGCCAAUUCCAUUUAGAAAGGAGUGCCUUAUUGAGAUUGGAAAGGCAUUUGAUCCCUAAACCCCCUUUCUUCUUGCUUAAGCACACCACAUUCCAUCUUACUAGAUGUGGUUUACGCUCCAAACUGCCACCGCCCCAAAGAAAAUCCCUUUGGAUUUGUUCUAGUCUUCUUCUAACUAAACUUGGUAAUCUUAGAACAGACAUAUAGUAAAUGGGAAGGUUUGACAAAGUACUCCGGAUCAAGGUUGCUCUUCCUCCCUUGGAUAAGUAUUGUCUCUUCCACAUAGUCAAUCUUUUGCGAAACCGCUCUUCCACUCCGUCCCACAUAGUGUAUCAAUAAAAUCCAUGUGCCACCUAGACACUAUUGACCAAGGAAAAGUAAAACUGAGAGCCAAAACAAAUCCGAGAGUCAAAAGAAUUGAGCGCUNNNNNNNNNNNNNNNNNNNNNNNNNNNNNNNNNNNNNNNNNNNNNNNNNNNNNNNNNNNNNNNNNNNNNNNNNNNNNNNNNNNNNNNNNNNNNNNNNNNNNNNNNNNNNNNNNNNNNNNNNNNNNNNNNNNNNNNNNNNNNNNNNNNNNNNNNNNNNNNNNNNNNNNNNNNNNNNNNNNNNNNNNNNNNNNNNNNNNNNNNNNNNNNNNNNNNNNNNNNNNNNNNNNNNNNNNNNNNNNNNNNNNNNNNNNNNNNNNNNNNNNNNNNNNNNNNNNNNNNNNNNNNNNNNNNNNNNNNNNNNNNNNNNNNNNNNNNNNNNNNNNNNNNNNNNNNNNNNNNNNNNNNNNNNNNNNNNNNNNNNNNNNNNNNNNNNNNNNNNNNNNNNNNNNNNNNNNNNNNNNNNNNNNNNNNNNNNNNNNNNNNNNNNNNNNNNNNNNNNNNNNNNNNNNNNNNNNNNNNNNNNNNNNNNNNNNNNNNNNNNNNNNNNNNNNNNNNNNNNNACACACCACGGCCCAUUCCAAAGGCCAUGGAUGGCCCCCAGCUCAUUCCAUAGAUUUUCCCUCUCUCUCCUUUUAGUCGGGCCAUAAACCCCUGUGAAGGUCCACGUAAAGCCAUCCUCACAAUUUUUAAAAUGGCAGGAAAUUGAACAUUCUCCCUUUUCUAGCUCAAUCAUCUCCAGCACCCUAUUAUCCCAAAGCACCACUAUGCCGCCCGCUGACCCCCUUGAGUCCACAGUUCCCCAAUCAAGGAAUCUUCCCACCCCUAUACUCCGAAUAAUCCCUCUAGUCAAAUCCAAUAAAUUAUAUUUCUAUGGAAAAACAAGAAACCUUUUAAGGCUUAAAAUUGGUGCCACAGGUGUCUAUAGUCAACAACCAUUAAUCAGCAAGGAAAAGGAAAUACCUUUGGGUAUUGACGAAUGAAAAUUUUGAGACAGUCCAACUGCUCUACAUGGAAUGACUUGAACUUAUGAUUCCAUGGCCAGGGCUUUAGAUGGUUCUCAAUUACAGAUGAGAGGGUUCAGGUUUCAUUUAUAAUGUAAUAACAUUAAAUGAAUCAAUGAAACAAUAAAAUUUGAUAGAGUAGGAAGACUAUGAUAUAAGCUCUCUUGAAGAUAAGAAUAGGUAAGAGAGCUCACCUGUGGUCAAGUAAAACAAUGUCUGUUGAAUGAAACUGCCAUUCAAUCGUCCAAGUAAUGCAUUUAUCUCUAGUCAAAAAUAUUUGAAAAGGGUAAUGCUAGGAACUGGAAAAAAAAAAUCUCAAUUUAUUUAAAAAAAAAAACAAAAACAAAAACAAAAUAAGGGCCAAAAAUAGUUCAUUGAGUUUAAAAACUAGUUUGACUACUAAUUUCUUAAAUAACAUUGAUAUGAAAAAGUGGCAACCUUCUUCACAUAAAUUAACAAUCAACCCAUGAAAAAACUUUGAAACCCUAAAUUUGUAUCCGGACUUUGAAAUUUGAAGACAAAACAUUCAACUUCCUCAAGCCAAUUACAAAUCGCGUAAUACUACACAGAAAAACCUUCAAAGAAGCCAAAAGAUAUAAAAAAAAUAUUAAAUUAAAACAUACCUGUAAAGGAAUGGACAGACAAGCAAAAGAAAACACUGUACUAUGAACAUCAAAUAGCAAAAUUCCUCAAGCUAAUUACAAUACACUAUUACUGAACGUCUUGAAAAUGUUGAAACUUAUCGAAAUUUCAAGGAAAAGAAAAAAAACAGUAAACUUCCUCAAUGGUGACCACAAUCCACUCAUGACAAACCUUCAGAAUAACCAAAUGGGUAUUGAAAUUUGAUAAUAAAGAACAAAAUUGGGAGAAAAUUUACCAGAUAAGAGGAGAUUACAGUCAAAUUGAGAGAGGGGAACGAACUGGGUCCGCUGGCUCUUGCCCGUACACCCCAGUGUGUUGCUUGUGAGCUUUUACACAAGGAAGACUACAGGAGCGCACAAAGCAACCUGGGCAUGUGUACUUUGAUAGAUUCAAUUUGCACUCCUUUCACAGAGGUGGAAGUUUAGGGUUUUGGGCUGUUGCAGGUGAGUCUUCUCGUUGCGGAAGGCUGAGGGCUUUAAGCUUAUGUUACCAGAAUAACGGGCUGUUGAAUGGAAAAGGACCAAAUAUACUUAAAGAGAUUCAAGAAAAAUAAACAUACUUUAUGAAUAAGUUUGGGCGAAAGUUUAGGAUGAAAAAAAAUUGUUUUUUUCUCACUUUCUUUAUGAGAAGAAGAGCUAAGCAUUUUGGGCAUUUUGGGUUUUUUUCAUUCAAAUGAAAAUAUCUAAUAAGAGAUAUAAGUUGAAAAAAAAAAGCCAAAAAAAUAGGAAAAAAGGAAAAAGGUAAUUUGCUUUAGUCCCAAAAAAAAAAAAAACAAUCCUGGAUUGAAAAUUUUCAAGACAAGAAAUAUAAUAUUUUUAUAGAUUUUUUAAUUUAAUUUUUUUAUUGUCCUUAGAAAAGUUAAAGAAAAAAACUAAAUUACUAAAAAAACUCACUCUAAUACAAAUUGAGAGGUGAAUCUCAAUAACGGAGGAGAGAGGAUUGAAUAGGUGUUGUUGAACAUUUUAAAAAUCUCCCAAUAAAAAUUACCUAACCUCAUAAAUUUUUACAAAUCUCAACUUUCCUCUUCAAAUACUUUGCAACACAAAGUAAAUAUCACAUACAAAAAUGGAUGCAACAAUACUCUCCCAAUAAAUUCAAAUGUAAGUCACAUGCAAAUGCUUCAACACUCCCCAAGAUUGAUUCAUAAAAACAAUAAUCUCCUUAUCUCAUUGCCAAUAACUACAAGAUUUCAUUAACAAAAAUGAAUAGAAAAAUUAUUCAAGAUAUUGAAUGGAUAAUCACAUCUAUUUCAACUCAUUUUUCUUUCAUUCAACAAUAAUCUCCUUAACUUGUUGCCAAUAACUACAAGAUAGCAUUAACAAAUGCUUUUUACCUUCUUCUUCCAAAGCACACUUGGAGUCCACACCAAGUUCGAUCUCAACCUCUUCUUGAAUCCACACAAGAAGAAAAUAAGUUUUUUUUUUUUUACCCAAACCCAAAUAGACUAAAAAUUAAGAGAUGAAUGAAUAAAGAAUCAACCCAUUUUUUCCUUAAGAAAAUCCAUUGAAAACAAUUUAUAAAACAAUGGGAAAGUUGGAUUUUCUUGGCAACCAAACACCCCAAAAUAGGAAAGAAGAAGAGAACCAAAGGGGAUGGUUGUUGUUGUCUCUCAUCUCUUGAACAAGAAACAAAUUUUAGGUUUUUAAAUGAAGGUGCCUUUGAUCCAAUAGAUGAGACUUCAUCAAAAAAAGUGAGUGAGAUCGAUUCGGCUUAAAGCUGGAUUGAUAUUGGAAUAGGGCAUUUUGAAUACUUAGUAAAAAAAAAACUUUCCAAACAUUCCUAACUCUUUAAAAAACUUUUAAGUAAAAUAAUAUUUAAAUAAAAUUAUUGAUUCAAUUUCAUCCAACUCAAACUUGAACCACAAAUCUUCGUUUCUUGACAAGUUUAACAAAUUGAUCUCUAUUAGCCAAAUAAUAUGUGAAAGGAUUAGAAAAUUAGACAAUUAGAAAUUUGGUCCGAAAUUGUCGGUCUAACUAAACACUCACAAUCUGGUUAUCAAAUUGGAGAAACGAGGCUCCUCUACAGAUGUGGACUCACCAGUCAUGAGUAUGCCAAAUAAAUUGGAAACUUGACCGCUUGCUUGGUAAAGAAGAUGGUGAUAUUGUUGCCACAAGUUGUCUCAUGUCACCCUUGUUGCGAGGAAGACCCAUAAAAAUACAUAGGCUUGAACUGUAAUUGAGGAAGUUAUCCUUGCUCUUGGUUGCUGUGAUGCCAAGAAAAUGAAGUUACUUUGAUUUAUAAUCACAUUUAAUUAUAUGAGUGUUAAAUUGACAAGUUAUUAAUGUUAAACAAAUGCUUUUGUCAUAAUAAUCAUUUUGAGCUUGGAAGCUAGAAAUCAAGGCUCGGAAAAAACUGCAAGAAAUAUGGGUUUGUUUUUAUGGAUAUAAAAAAUAUCAAUAAACAAAAAUUAAUAAAAAAAAUUGGAACAACUCUAAAAAUAUAGAAGAAUUAAUAAUAUAUAUAUAUAUAUAUAUAUAUAUAUAUAUAUAUGAUAUAAUUUGUUAUAUUUUAUAAUAAUAUUUAGUAUAUUAAUAAAAAUUAUAAAUUUUUUAAAUAUAUACUCAAUAUUAGCCUACAUUACGCAUUUAAUUUUUAUUAAAUUAUAUUUCAAUAAUUUAUAUAUAUUACAUUAUAAUGGCUUGUUUAAUAAAAUUUGAAAAAUAAAAUAAUUAAAAUUAAUGAAUUUAUAUAUAUAUAUAUAUAUAUAAUAUUUGACGGCAUUACACUCUUGCACCUGAGAGAACCACACAGGCCGAAAAAUUCAGGAAAAAAAAAUCCGAAAAACAUGUAAAUCCCGAUAAAUUCCAAAAAUACGAGCCACAAGCCGAAAAAUCCCGAAAUCUUUUUAUGUCGGGGAUAUACCCGAAUAGGGGCCGGCAUUUUUCUCCUUGUUCUCAAUAACGAGAAACAGAAUGACACACAAGAUCAUCGAACAAAUUAUUCUACCCACUCAAGAAAAAUUAACAGCUGAUUUUAAUCAAGAUAUAUAUAAACACUCACGGAAGCUAACAUCAAUUACCUUAAGAGAAGAAAAUGUGAAAGAAAAUGCUUCUCUUCUUCUUCUUCUUCUUCAACAACACCAGAAAAACUAGACUCUAAUCUGAAAAUUAGCUUUUUAUAAGAGACGUAGUUAUAUACAUAUAUAGAGUAGAAACUUGAACAGUAUUAUGUUCUUCCCCAAAUAAAAAAUUUUCAAAUCCAGCUUUGAAAAGAAGCGUCAUCAAAGGCACAUAUGCACACAUGGACUAGAAAUUGAACACAUUAUGUUGUAAAACCUUACCUGGGAUUCUGCGGCUCCAUAGUGGGUUCCAUCUCUACUGGUGAGUAUUCGCCUCUGGUUCUUACUUUCUUAGGAAGUGUGGGUUUAUCGGUCCCCUUGUAGCGAGUAGCAGGCAGCGAGUAGAGAGAGACUUGCCUCUGGUUCUUGCUCUCUUAGAAAGUGUGCGUUUAUUGGUCCAUAUUUUAACCAAUAAGAAAAGUACACGUAUAAAGUUCACUGAAUGAAAAAUUGAAAGAACCAAUUCUACGAGUUACCAACCGGUUACCAUGUAUUUUAAAAAAGAAAUAAUCACACGCACGUCACAUUUAAGUUAUUUUUACAACAGCCAAUUAUAUCAUUUAAGAAAUUAUUUUAUAAAAGUUGUAAAAUAUUUAAAUUUUUUUAAAAAUAAAAAUUUUGUGAAAGAAAAGUUGCUAUUUAUUUUAUUUUAUGAUAUAAAUUUAUAACACUAAGAUCUUGUGAAAAAAAAUCAUUUAUAUAUAAAUUAAAAUAAGUAUUUAUUAUUAAAAAAAACUGAAAAUUAUAUUAUUAAUUUUUUUGAAAUAUUGAAAGUAUUUUUUGAAAAAAAAAUUAAAAUAAGACAAACAUAUAAAAUUUGAGAGUAUAAAAAAUGUGAGAAGGGAAUGAGUAGUCCUUUCAAUUUUAUUUAUUUAAUUUGAUAAGUUUUUUUUUUCAAAUAUUCCAUUAAUUGUGACUUAAUAAGUUAUUUUAUUGUCAUUUGAAAUAAAAAUAAAAAUCUUAAAAUUAAAAGCAAUAAAAAAUUUUAAAAACUUUAAAAAUAUAAUAAAAGUGCGAAAAACAUAAAGAUUAUCUCCAAUUAUUUAAAUAUUUUCUUUCCUAGUAACUUCUAUGUAACGCCAAUAGGAUUUUUUACUAGGUUUAAUUUUAAAAUGGAAAAUGAUGAUAAUGUUAAUAAACUUUAUUAAACCAGACAAUAUCUAGCAGCAUACGAGUCUCUGCUUUCUGAUUUUAAAUCGCGGAAGGUACAAAAUCUCGACUUCUUAAAGCAACAAAUUCAGAUUGAUCAAUAAAAACAAUUUUAGAAAAAAGUUGCAGGUACAAUGGGGUCCUCAUCUCGAUAGCUCAUAGCUCUAAGUUCUAUUCCUUAUCACAAGAUAUGGGACCUCAAAAAGAGUGAAGCAGGACUGCACCCAAGCUUAACUAGAGACGGCCAGCUACAGCUCAAAAAAACAGAUGGCAAGUCAUUAAUCACUGCCUAAAAAGCAAGUGGUUAACAUUGCUGCUAUUUUCCGGAUAUUGAAUUUAAAACUUAAAACAGAAACAAAUUUGUAUUCACUACAUGAUAUUAUGACUUAUCUUCAUCCUAAUUGUAUUUUCAUUCCUAUUCUUUCAAAUCAAAUGCACUCUUAAAUUAUGUUUAGUUCAUAAAAAAAUUAAGGAAAAAUACGAGGAAAAUAAAAAAUAUAUAUAUAUAUAUAUAUAUAUAUAUAUAUAUAUACAUAUAUAAUUAAUAAAUUACUUUUUAUAUAUUAUUUCAAACUCAUUUCAUUGACUUUAAUUGUUCGAUAUAAAAAAUUAAAUAAUUAAAAUUUUAUUUUUCUCAACGUUUUUUUUCUUUUCUUAAUACUUUUUGGCAAUAGUCUUAGGUUAUAUUUAAUUCUAGAAAAAUACAAAGAAAAUAAAAAAAUACUAAAAAAAUGAUUUUUUUUCAUAUUUAAUUAUCUUAUAAAAAUAUAAAAAAAAUCAAUUAUAAUUAAAAUUAAUUAAAAACUUGUACAUUUUCAUAUUGUUUAAUCUUUAUAAUGUACUUAAAUAAGUGAAAUGAAUUUGAAAUAAUAAAUAAAAAUAAUAUAUUGAUUUUAAAUCUAUUUUUUAUUUUCCUUUUUUUUUUCUUUCUACUUUUCCUCCUUAAUUUCUUUUCUUUACAUUUUCCUUUAAAUUUUUUGAAAACUAAAUAUAACCUUAAUAUUUUAAAUUAAAAAAAAAAAUAGGAGAGAUAAGUAUUGUGGAGGAAGUUAAUGAAUCUUCAAAAUUAUUUUAUCCAAAUGCAUCAAAGAGCAUCCAAAUGUGUUACAUUUGCAUGUGAGGAUUUCUAUCAAACACAAAUUUAGCUUAUAUAAAAAAAAUUAUAUAUAAAAAUCUAAAAAAAAUGUUAAAAUAUGAUUAGAACAAUUAAUUGUGGAGUUGAGUGAAGGUUAGUAUGGCUUGCAUCAACUUGAUUAAGUUGCACUUGGAAUCAUAUCUCAUGUUUUUUUAUACGGUUAUUAAUUAUUAAUAAUAAAGUGAAUUUAUUCAAUUUAUAAAUAAAAAAUGUAAGUUUUAUUAAAGACAAAACUAUACAAUACAUUUAAUAAAUAAAAUGAUUUAGAGAGUGACAAAAAAUUAUUUAAGUUUAAGGAUAAGAGAUAUGUUGAAUGUUGAAUUUAGUGUAAGAUGUAAAAUGGUAUGAACCAACCCAUCCAAUAAAUAAAUAAAAGAAAUGGUUUAUAGACACGUUAAAUAGACUUUUAGUGGUGAAACAAGAACUUUUGAUGUUUUUAACACUUUUUAAAUAAAAUAUUUGUAGAAAUGGGUAAUUGAAAAAAUAAUUUGGAAUGUAGGUGAUGUAAGAUCACAUACACUUCUAAAAGCUUAAGUUAAUCGGAUAAAAGUAUUAUUAAGUAUAAGACCUAACCAAUAAUGGUAAUCUGUCCAUAUAAGAUAUUGGAGUUCCAUUCAUCCUACACCAAGUACUCCUACUCAAUUAUUAAUGCUCCGUCUACGAGGAGUACAGGAAAUGUUAGGAUGAACUUCGCUCAAAUAUCAAAUGAUUCAAACCACAUGCCCUCCAAAAAAACUUUAGGCAGAGGUAGGUGGUGAACAAAAAAUUCAAAAUAUUUAAUUUUUUUUAUUUAACUAAAAGUACCAUAUUAAUAUUAAUUAAUAUAAUUAAAGUAAACUUGUUAUCAAUAAAUUUAGUUUAAUUAUAUUGAUUGAUGUCAAUUAGUCAUUUUUAACUAAACAGAAAAAAUCAAAUAUUAUGAUUUUUUUUAUUUAGCCAAAAAAACAAACACCGUUGUAGUCUCACAUGUAAGGUCUAAUCAAUGUUGGUAAUAAGUCUUUUAUCAAUUAUUGAUUCAUUUCUCAUUUAUUUGAUUUCAUGAAUCUAAAAAAAAAAGGAUUUUGAACAAAAAAACAUAGGAUUUUUUUGUAUUAGAACAUACAAAAGAAUUUAUGUAAAUAUUUGUAUAUGUGGACCCCUCAUUUCAGCUCAUGCGUUUCCACUCGUUGACGAACUUAUUUUUUAUACAAUUAAAAAUAAGUUAAAAUUACCUAAGUUUUGUACAACUAAAAUGAAAAAUAAGUUUACUAUAAAUUAGUAAAAUUGUCAUCCUAAAAAACUAAUAUGACUGAAAUAGAUUUUACUUUUAUGACCAAAAUCAAAUUUUACCAUUCACUCACUAUUUUCAUUGUACAAUGCAUAAAAUUUUCAUGAAAUUUAAAUUCUAUAAAUUUCUUUAGGUUACUCCUUAAAAUGAUAAAAUUUAGAUUAGAAAUGAAUUUAUUAUAAAAUUUUAAAAUUCAGCUUCUUAUUCUAUAAUAAAACCAAAACAAACUAUCAACCAAUUCCAAUGAAAAUUUUUAAUUAGAACUUCAAAACAUAAUUCACACUAGAAAAAAAAUUCCAUUGUAAUUAACUAUUUCAAUUAAUUUUGAAAAAUAAAAAAAAUAGGAUUUGAAACUCUUUCAUAAAUUAAAUAAAAAUUAAUGAAUUAAUCUCAAUAAUAAAAUACAAAUAAGUAAAAAAAAAUUCUUAUAUUUUACAUAAGAGUUGCUAUCCAAAUUAUUAUCUAAAUAUUUAAUUUUCUACUAAUUAUAACAAAAUUUGAUAUUUUGAGAUAUUUGAAAAUUAUUAUUUUUAAAUUAAAUAAAAUAGUAAGUGAGUUUUUUUAGCAUGUAACAAUAAAUAGAGACAUUAAUACUUAAUAGCAAAGGAACUACCUCCACUCCCCACACUUUUGACAACUGUACACUCACCUACAAUUUGAGAACUUCUUGGAGGCUUUGAAAGUUUAAAAAAUGGUGAUAGAAAUGGAUAAGAAACGUGUCCUACAAGUUUACGCGUCUGUGAGAUAUUUUCAGCAUUUUGAAAAAGGAUUGCAAGGCAGAAAUAAUUUGACAGAUUUUGUAAUGAGACAUAUGUAAAAUAAAGUUCUUACCUACUUUAAUAAAUAUUAGUAAUACUUUAAAAGAUUCGGAUUGAGAAAAUAUCCCCAUGUCGUGGACUCGUGGCAAAGAAAAUAAUAAUACAAUAAUAAAGGUGGCCUGGUUGGCCUCAUUUUGAAGCUGAGGGACGGGGACCCGAGAGAAGCCGAACUAAAAGACUCAAGAGUGUGGUCAACACCCUGUCCUAGUGCCAAUCUCGAUCUUUCUCUCCAGAUCUCGCCGGCGGCGAUCUCCCAUAAUCUCUGGUCAGUCAAUUUCAUUUUUUGUAGGGUUUUCGAAAUUGGGCAACAGUAUAUUGAGUUUUUUGGUUUUGAUUGCUGAAGAAAUUGGGGAUCUUUGUUUGGUUGUCUUCAAAGUUUAGGAAAGAAAGCGAAAAUAAAUUUAUUUGGAAUAUUGCAAUGGUUUAUCAGGAGUUUUUAGGCUGAUGAUGUGCUUUUUAGUGGCUCCAAAAUUUCUGCAGCUUAGUUGUUAAUUUGGAGACACAUUUGUUGUGUUGUUGUUCCAAUGGAAUGUUGUGAGCUUAUAGGGGUUAAUGUUGAUGUGCAAAUCUGUCUUAGUUACUGAUCUUCGGUUUUCUUUUAAUGGAUUUAAAUACGCUAAACCAGUAGAAAUUAAAAUGUGUAUUACACAAGAUUUCCUCAACGCUGUUGACGAGUGUCUCUUGGAGUCUGGAGGAACUUAAGUGUCUCUGCAAGUAUUCCAUUAAGCAGGUGUUUUCUGGAGGUUGGUUUUUAUUUGUUUCAGUUAAUUGUUGUAAGAAAGUGUCUCUUUUACUAGGAUUGUUGCAAGCGUUUUUCAAUUUUGGUUGGAUCUUGGGAUGAGAGGUUAACAUAUUUUGUUUAUGAGAAAAUACGGGGAAGAAAAGUGGAUACUAAAAUGCCAUAUAUGGGAUUUUCUAUUGUUUGGGAACAGAAAAUGCAACUUUUAAAUAUACCUUUUCCUGUGUUCUGUUUUGUGUAAGAACGGGAAAGAUUAGCAGCUGCUAUUAGUUUAUACUUCCCAUGUUCAGGGGAUAUUACGGAGAGGUAGUUGGGAGGCCUUGCUUGCUAAACAAUACGUAAAAAAUAUGUUUUAUUAGUUCAAUCAUGAUUUUAUUAUAUAAAACCAUAUUUGCAACGAAACAUAUCGGAAUUUGAUCUUAUGUAUAGAGAACAUUUAGGGUAACCCUUUAAAUAUAGAAGCACAUCAUUUCUAUAAGAUAGUACAUAAUCUUCCUUUGGUAAUGGCCUAUAGGGGUAAAUGCUCCUCUUGUCCACUGUGCCUCUAAUGCUGGUGUUGUUUUGAGUCCUGAACAUAUCAAAGUGAUUAAAUGGUUUAUUCAAGUAGCAUACAUGUACAUAGAAAAAUUGGAUAGAUAAUGGAAGUGAGUACAUGGUUAACAUGAAUAAAUAAUUCAUAUUCAUACUGGUAAUGGUAUUAUCAAUCUAAACCCAACAUACACUUGUUAAGGACUAAAUUUUUGUUGUAUAUAUCAUAUAGGGUGAUGUAUAUAUUCUAACUAAAACAUUUAUGCGAAUUACACAUUCUUGAAUAUCAAUAAAUAUGAGUUCAAUUCUAUCUUAUUCAUACAACUUGAAAAUCUGCAUUGCAAGACUAAAAGUGCCAAACAAAUAUGAAAAAAUUUAAAACCGAAGUGGUUGAAGUGUUUUGAGCAUCAUACCUGGGAGAAAUGGAGUCUAAACUGGAAGCCUUUGUAAUCCCUCUACAAAUAUGGGAUUACGAGUCAUGAACAUAGCAGAUAAGUAGGGUGCCAGACGACUUAUUUGGUAAAGAAAAUGGAGACAAAGUUGGUGUAAGUAGUCCCAUGCCAUCUUUACUGCAAGGAAGACCCAUAAAAAAAGCAGCAAUAAUCCAAAUAUUGGAACUAAAAUCAACAACAAUAAGAUUGGGGCAAGUGCGCCAGAGAGGAGUUGAAUGGGCUCAAUAAACUUAAACUUCUUGCCAACAAUAAUUGUUCCAACAUAUAUGGAAAUAACAACAACAAAAGAAGAUAUUAAGGCAUCUUCAAAUGGGGAAACACUGUUGGCUUGAAAUUUCACUUGGAUGAGGACUCCCAACGUUGAAAGGAAGAGUACAUAAGCUUCAAAUGCAAUGGGGAAACUUGAUCUUGCUCUGUGAUGCCAAGAAAAUGAAAUUACUUUGAUUCAUGAUCACAUUUAAUGAAACGAGUGUUUAAUUACCAAGUUAUUAAUGAAAUUCAUAAUAAACCAAGAAAAUACACAAAGCCUUCUCAAUAAUGAAGGCACAAAUACAAUGCUAAAUUUAAUUAAUUAAUACUUAUAUUUGUGGAGUGAGUAUGUGAUGGUGGAAAUAAUUAUCCGAAUCCAGUGUUGUGUCAUAGUUAAAUGACUCAAGGUCCUUCCCUAAAUUUUCCCUAAAUCCAUUUAUCAUCAUCUAUAAGGUUCCACAGUUUAAAAGUUUUUGAUAGAUAGAAAUUUGAAUUUUGAGAAAAUGUGAGGAAGAAAAGUAGAAAGUGAAAUACUAUAUAUGGGACUUUCUGUUGUUUGGGAACACAUAAAAUGCAACUUCUAAAUAUACCUUUUCCUGGGUUCUAUUUUGUGUUUGAAUGGGAAAGAUUAGCAGCUGCCAUUGGUUUAUACUUCCUACGUUUAGACGAUAUUAUGGAGAGGUAGUUGGGAGGCCUAUCUAAACAGUAUGCAGAAAAUAUAUUUUAUUAAUUAAUUUCAUAAUUCGAUCAUAUAAAACCAUGUUUGCAAUGAAACCUGUUAUAAACUUGUGGGCAUUUGAUCUUUAAAUAUGGACAAGGGGAAGAGUAAUUACCAAUGUAUAGAGAAAAAACAAAGAUACCACCUUUUGUUAAAAUAACUUACUAAUAUUAAGACAACACUUUUAAUGAGAGUAUAGGAUGACACCACUUUAAAAACUACAAGAACAAAAUAUUUAUUACUCCAAUGGGCCAAAAGGCCCAAAACAACUCGACAAACUCUAAACCAAGGGUAACUGCCCCUUUUACUCUUCUUCCCUAUCUCUCGUCUUGUAUUGAUUCUUGAUCCAUAUGACAAGGUGUAGCCAUUCAAAAUAUAGGAUCAGGAUCAACAAUAACAAAGUUGCAACUACAAUUCCACUCAGGUACCUAAUAUGACCCAACAUAAGGAAAUGUCUUUUGUCUUCAAUUUUGAGGGUUUCAUCGUAUUUGAGGAUUUCAUAAACAACUACUAUGAAAUAUAUAAAUAUUGCAAAUAAAAAGAUUCGCAUAACUAUAUUGGCAAACGGAGGAACAUUCUCAUGUAAGGACAUUUGAACAUAGAUUCAUAAGGAAAAAGAUGAAAAUCGAUAAAGCUCAUAAACAGGAAAUUCAAUUAAAUUUACAAAAAUAAGGCAUUAGUAACAUCAAUUCAAAAAAUUAAGUAAAUAUGAUCAAAUUAAUCCUUUUAUCUAAUUUUAAAAAAUACUAUACAAUUUCAUGUAAAACAAUUAUAUUUUUAGAAUAUUAAAAGUACAUCAGAAAUAUGAAGAGUAGUGCUUUGUGUUUUAAUGGAUAAAAGACCUAACAUCCAACAUAUAUAUUUGAGAAGCAAAUGAUUGAAAGAAUAACUCAAUUUUAUUUUGAGAUUUAAUUUAAAACUAAGUUUGAAAAGUUGAGUACCGAUAAGUAGAAAAGCAUUGAGGGAAAAGAGUGCAAUGUCAAUAGUGGUAUUAUUUUCAUUGAAACCAUACAUGAAAGACAAUUUUAAUUGAUUAAGAUAUACUUUUAAAUGGGUAUAUAUCAAAUGAAGGCACAAACGGAGGUACCAUGUGACACAUAAAAGUUGAAAGAAAUGAUUUAAAAAGAGUGAUUGAAUUCAAGAAAUGGGUCAGGUAAGUUAGAGAGCAUUAAAAACAAAAUGGAGAUGGCUCGAGGAACAAAAUGGAAAAAGGGCAUGAGGGAAAAGCCGUUGAGGCUUUUGAUGCAAGAAAAUGAUGAGGAAGAGAGCAGAUCAUGUGUGUGGAAGAGAGUAGCAAUCAUGUGUGUGGCAUGAUUGGGCAAAUAUAAAAUAGCAGGGAGAAGAUGGCAUACCGUGGUUGUCUGGCCAUGAAGAGAGCAGGGAAGUCUGACUCUAGAUGCAGUCUUUGAAGUCUGUAGAGGGAAUGGUUAUAUUUAUAGCAGUCUAGCGAUGACGAUUUAGCGAUGAAUAGUGGAAUGGUUAUAUUUAUAGCAGUCUAGCGAUGACGAUUUAGCGAUGAAUAGUGGAAGUAUCGCUCGCUUUGUCUCCAUGGAUGAAUGCUCUAAGAUGAAUAGUGGAAGUAUCGCUUUUUGUCCAUGGAUGAAUGGAUGAAUGCUCUAUUUUUAUUGGUUAGCUCUUUUUGUCUCCAUGGAUGAAUGCUCUAAGAUGAAUAGUGGAAGUAUCGCUUUUUGUCCAUGGAUGAAUGGAUGAAUGCUCUAUUUUUAUUGGUUAGCUCUAUGUCUAUUGCUUUAUGGAGAUGAAUAGUGAAGCCUUGAAAGGGACAUCACUAUUUUCCCUAAAUCCAUUUAUCAUGUGCAAGGCUCAAUGCUUGCAUAUUGAUUGUGUUUGCAUUUUUUUAGGAAAUCCAAGUUUUAAUAAAUAUAUAUAAUAUUUUUUGUUUUGAACCGAUGUAGGAUAAGUAAUUUUCAUUUCUUUUAAAACUACACAUAACACAAUAUGAAAAACAAAAAAUAAAUAACUAUAUAUCAAAAAAGAAAGUUAACUCAAAAAUAAAAAAUAUCAUAUUACAACUUAAAAAUCCCUAUAGACAAAAAAUAAAAAAUAAAAAUCUUUGCUACAAUCUAAUCUAACUAAUAAGUGCUUAAUAUAUCUUUUUUUUAAUUGAUUUAAGGAAAAAUAAUAGUAAUUUUAUAUCAAAUAUAAUCACUCUUAUAUAAAAACUAAAUUCUUAUCUUAUAUCCUCACAAAUUGGUUCUAAAAUUUUUAAAAUUUGAGAUUGUGAAGAUAUUUUAAUAACUUAAAUUUUAAAAUAAUUUUUAAAGGUAAUUAUAUUUUUAAACAAGUCUAAAAAUUCUCGUAUUUUACAUAAGAGUUAUUAUAGAAAAUGAAUUAGGAAACAUAAGAAUAGUGAUUGGAAAUUUGAAAAGAGAGUUGCAAAAAUUUUAAUUCUUUUUUUUUUUCAAUUAAACCCUAAAAUGAGAAUUGAGAUUUAUGAAUUGUGCGAUUCAUGAAGGAAGACGUUUUUAUUAUUUUCAUAUAUUUUGGAUAUACACCUCGUUCUUGGAUUCCACUUUAUGUAAAUGGAAGAAUGAGAAAAAUUAGUUGUUUCUAGUAAUUUAUACCUCUAAUCUUCUUGGUAAGAUUAGCUUAAGCAUGAACUGAUCACUCAUAUUAUUAUUAUUAUUUGACUUAUUCAAAAUCCUGUUUCACUCUUUUACCUUUAAAUAUUAUAUUAAUUAAGGUUGAUGAUGCAACGUCUAGUCUUUAUCAUAGUCAUUUGGCUUUGGCAUCUCUUUUGGUCUUGAAAUAGAUACGUGAGCAUCAGUACCUUCGCUGGAUGGAGAGAGAAAGGUGCAGGAUUUUUUGUAUAAGUUACGUAAUUUUUAAAAAAUAAUUUCUAAAAUUUCUUUAUAAAAAAUUUAUAAAUUAAAAUCGACCUCGAAAAGAUGAUACUAAAAAAAAAAAGACAAGACGAGUUAAGGGAAGAAGUAAAUUUUUAAUUUUAAAGUUUAUCUAAUAAAAUUAAUUUUAAAUUUAAAACUAAAUAAUUAUUUAAUAAAUAAAAAAAAAAUUAAUAAUAACUUUAUUUUUUUAUAAACUUAAUUUUCACAUUAAAUUGAUAAUAGUUUUUUUUUUAACCUGACAAUGAAAGAAACAAAAAGUAAAUAAAUAAUAUUAUUUAUCUUAUAAAUAAAAAACAAUAUAAAACUAAAUUAAUUUCUAUUUAUAGUUAUAAUUAAUUGAAUUAAUUUAAAGAUAAAUACCAAAAAUAUUUUUGAAAUCAAUAUAUAACUUAAUAUAAAAUAGUAUUUUUUUAAUAUUAAUAUUAAACAUAAUUUAUAUUUUUAUAAAUAUUAUUGUUGAUAAAUAUUCUAAUAAUUAUAAUUAUUUUUAUAGAUUGAAUUUAGUAAAUAAAAUUAACUAAUUUUAUUAAAAAAACUAAUUUUUGAAAAUAUUUUUUUGAAAAAAUGAUUUUAUUUUUAUUUAUUUAUUUUUAUUUUUAUAUAAUCAUCUCGAAAUAAUUUCUCCCAUAAAUUUUUUUGCAUAACUUUUUUCCUUUUUCCCUCUAGUCUCUCUCUCUCUCUCUUUUUUUUUUUUUUUUUUUUUUUUGUGUCAAGCUCUUAUGAUUUUAAUCUAUAAAUUUUUUUAAAAGAAAUUUUAGAAAUGAUCUUUUGAAAAUAUGAUUUUUUCUUUUUUUUUUCUCAGUUGACAAAAACUAGAAUAAAUUUAGAAUUAUUUUUGCACCAUAGUUUAGGAAUUAUUUUUUAAAACUGCUCUUAUGAAAAAUUUGAAAGCAGCCGGAAGAAGAGCAAAGUUCUUAUAUAAUGCCACAUGUCCAUGAAUUAUGUAUGGUGACGCCUUCAAUUGUUCCCACCAAACCUUCCUUGUCGCUUGUUGACUUCCUGCUGUGGAAAUAGAGAAAGGAACAUAUUAAACAAGGGAUUUUGAUUUUUGAUUUUUAUUUUUUAAAAAAGCUGUCUUUUUUUAUAAAAUAUUUAUUAAAAUAUGAUAGUUUUGAAACCAUUUCCAAAUGAGUAUAGAUUUAAUAGUUUGUGGUUUGAGAUUUGAAAGUCUCAUUUAAAAAUCUAAUAUUGCUCAAAAUAAUAAGAAAGUUUGUGAUUUGAGAUUGAAAAUUUCUCAAUGACAACUACUAUGGAAUAGACAAAUGUUAUAAAUAGCAAGAUUUUGAUCAUUAUGUUAUUUUGUGUAAAGACAUGUUUUCUUGAUCAUAUUUUGCUAGAAAAGCUCCUCCAAAUAAGUACAAAUUAAUAAGUUAGUGCAAUGCUUGUUAUGACACAAAAGAAUAUGAAAUUUCAAGUAGAUUAAUUUUGUUUUUAUUUUUAUUUUAAAUUACAAUUAUCUUAAUUUAUUUUUUAAUUAAAACUUAACAUGCUACCCCCAAAUUUGUUAAUUUGUUAAUUUAGUUAAUAUUAAUUUAUUUUAAAUUUAUUAUUAUUAUUAUUAUUUACUAAUAUUAAUUUAGUUGCAGCUAUUAUCUUAAUUUAUUUUUCAUUAAUUUAACAUUGGAUUUUUAUUUUUUAUUUUUAUUUUUAUUUUUGAAAUUUAAUUAAGUAACAGCUCUAUAAGACAUGUUUAUAUUAAUUCAUUUUUCAUUAAUUUAACGUUGAAUUAUUAUUAUAUUUUAUUUUGAAAAUUUGAAAAUUUUCAACACUUGCCAAGUACAAGGGAUUUGCACCAUCAUCACAAUGGAACCUAGCUACACCUAAGAAGUUUAGGACACCACCGUCCACACAUGCAGACUUCUUAUCUUUUGUUACUAAUUUUGCUCUUCUUUCCUAAGGAUUAAGAUGUAACUUAUUGUUAGAAUACUGUUGGAAAGCUCAGAACCUCAAACCUCAAACCUCAAACUUCAAAAGUUAUUCAACUGCUGAAAGUGAUCUACACAGUUCAAAACAGAUCAAGCUUUAAAGUUGAAGUAUCAAGUUAUGCACCAUAUUCUUCCAAAUGACUUUUUUCUAAGCUUCGACGGUUUUCUAAGCUUUUACUUAAAACAACAUUCAAGAAAUUGGAGUUUGGCAUUUUUAAAAAGAGCAUAUUCAGCUCUGGGAAGUAUUUCUUGAGCAAAGAGGAGCGAAAAUAGAUCCUAAAUGUUCCCCAGAUUUUCCAAGUUAGACACUACUGAGUUACACUAGCUUGAUCUGCUUUAUCUCUCAUAUAUGCUAUCAUUGUGCCAGGAUCCAUGUAAUGCAGGCACUGAUACCUCAACAGGAAGCAUGCAAUGGGCAAUAGCCAAAUUCAUUAACUAUCCUGAUGCAUUCAAGGUCAGAGAAGCAAUAGAUUUAGUAGUUGGAGGCACUAGACUUGUUAACGAAUCUGUGGUAAAAAUGAAUUUUGUACAUUGAUUUGAAAGAUGAGUCUCUACAAAGAUAUGUGGUAGAUGGAAAAUAGGAACUGAUUCCCUAAAACAGAAAAGAAUGUAUGAACCUUCCUAAAAUACAUCAAUUACAAUAAUAAAAUUGAUUCGACUUCCUAAACUUGCCACCAGAACCAGAUGUCUCAAACCUCCCCUACUUGCAAGCAGUUGUGAAAGAAACACUUAAGACUACCUUCCAUGACCUUUGACAAGGAGAAACACUGCAAAAUUUUGUAUAUUGAUUUGAAUGAUGAGUCUCUACAAAGAUAUGUACAGUUAAAGUAGAUGGAAAAUAGGAACUGAUUCCCUAAAAUCUGUCAUGAAGAUCAGGAAAUAAUAUCUCAAAAAAAUAAAAACAAAAAAGAAGAUAUGAGCCUUCCUAAAAUAUAUCAAUUGCAGUAAUAAAAUUGAUUUGACUUCCUAAACUUGCUGUCAGAACCAAAUAUCUCAAACCUCCCCUACUUGCAAGCAGUUGUGAAAGAAACACUUAGACUGUACCUUCCAUGACCUGUGACAAGGAGAAACACAACAAAAUUAUGUAAUUAGUUGAUAUAUACCAGAAAAAACUGCAGUAGCAAUCAAUCUCUAUGCUAGUAUGAAAGACCGUGAGAAAUGGGAUGAUCCUAAUGAGUUCCGCUAGAGGUGUUCUUGGUUUCCUCAGAAGAACAAGAUGAUUUUGAACAAAAACUAAAGAAAAAACAUCAAUUUUGUCCCAUUUGGCAACGUGAGGAGAGGCUGCCCAGUGACAUUGUUGGUAUCCAGUUUGAUGCAUACUAUGGUUGCUACUGUUCAAUGCUUUGAUUAGAAGGCUGGUGGAGUUGGACAUGGGGCUUAGUUGAUAUGCACUCUAGCCAGGCAUGUCCUUGAGCAUGGUUCACUCAUUCAUGUGUCAUCCCAUAGUUAACUGUAACCCUUUGGAGGGUCAUAUCUGGGUAUUUGAUUCUACAACAAAUGCUAUUAUCAUCUAUGUCCCAAGUGUUUCAAUGCUCUCUAGCUAUAUCUUAACAGUUGUUCCAUGACUAAGAAUGAAUUGUAUAUAACAAGACAUAGUUUCUCAUUGUAUGUUAUUGGAUGAUCAGCCAAGGCUGACUAUAGGACUCCAGAGCCUCUGCCACGAAUUGUAUCACCUAGUUGGAAACCAAUAGUCAUUCCAUAAGUCUAUUGAUUCGCCAUUUCCCACAAGGUUCCAGGGAAAAGACAAUAAUUUAAACCAACUUUGGAAACCCUUAAUGUUCAUUGUCUAGAGUUAGAAACAACCUUUUGUUUUAAAAAAGGUCGUUAUCAGGAUUUAUAUGAUACAAUAAGUAAAGCUCUUUAACCUGAGGCCAAUAUUACAGUUAAAUAGAACAAGCAGUGCUUACGAAAGGAGUAGAACCAAAACAAAUUUGAAAAGCUCUUCCAAUCAAAUUGAUGACUCCAUUACACCUAAAUUGUUUGCAAACAUUUAUUUCCCUAUUGGUCUAAAGACAAAAGCAUGCCACAUGGGGUUUUGUCCUCAAUAGAGAUGGGGAUUCAAUCUUUUGUACAAAACAGAAAGACUUCAGCAAGAUGGGCUAAUCAUUAAAGCCUAAACAUUCUAAAAACAUUAUAUCCCAGAUACCUUGACUUAAAACUGCACAUUCUUUGAAACAACAGGCAUUAGAAGGUUACAAUUCUAAAUUUAAAAAGGACAUCUGAUUUUCUGCCAAGUGCAUGGUUAAAAAUAUUGAAUUCAAGCCAAGACAACCCUAAAAAAUUCAACAACCAAAGGCAGGCCAGAUGGCAACAGAUCACCUCUCUAAACAUCCAUUUCUAAAGGGAAAAUCCUAGGCUUCUUUUGCUGUUCUAAAUAACAAGAUCUGGCUAGCCACUUUGAUUAGAUCAAGUACACUAAAUUCAGGGCAGUUUUGACCCUCAAAAGAGAAUCUAGGUAAUCCGUUAUUUUAUAUCACUGUGAAAAACAGAACACAUAUCAUAACAGAGAUUCACCCCCACACCUUAAUUUAGAAAACUAGCUCACCCCCCUUUUAAGGAUGGUGUGUUGCUGAUCCUCCCCCUAUAUAAAUCUCGAGUCCUUUUUUUUAAUUGAGACGCCAAAUUCCACAACCUAAAUUCAGUACUCUCCAAUGGCAUUGUCAUAUAUUCACCUUGUCUUGGUUUUCUGUGUCUUUGGAACUAGUAGAUACACUAAUUAACUUUCCAUUUCCUGUGACACUUGGUUGAUCUACACAUCUAAAUACAAGUAGUAAUGUUGUAUUAUGUUCUUUAUUCUUCUCAGGUGUUGAUCCUGCGAUUUUCACAUUACCAAAUAGAUGAAGGAAAACUAUAUGGUCGGGGAUCACACCUGGAUCUGGAAAACCUCAACUAAUGGAUGGUGGGCUUGAAUUAAGAACAGGUCAAUCGGUAGAUAUCAAUGCCACACAAGGGUGGUCAGGCCGUUUUUGGGGCCGCCGUAGCUGUUCAUUUGACAACUCAGGAAAGGGAAGCUGUGUCACUGGUGAUUGUGGUGGUGUGCUAAAAUGUGCUGGGGCAGGCGCUGCACCACCUGCAACACUUGCAGAGUUUACCCUUGAUAGCCCUGUAGAUUUUUAUGAUGUUAGCCUAGUUGAUGGAUACAACAUGCCAGUGUCAAUAUUCCCUUCCGGUGGGUCUGGUGAGUGCAAGGCAGUGACACGUGUUUCAGACUUGAAUCACAGAUGCCCCAAGGACCUGCAAGUUCUAAGGAAUGGUACUGUUGUAGCUUGUAAUAGUGCAUGCAUGGCAUUCAACAAACUUGAGUACUGCUGCUCUGGAGCCUACAGUACUCUUGAAACCUGCGAGCCAACAGAGUAUUCUAACAUGUUCAAGGCUUCUUGUCCUACAUCUUAUAGCUAUGCAUAUGAUGACCCAACAAGCACUUUCACAUGCAAAGGAGCUAAUUACUUGAUCAGAUUUUGUUAAAAUUUAUUUCUAAGAAGCAAAGAACCCUUAUAUGUACAGAACAUUUGAACAUCAUAUAAGCACAAUCCAAUGAAGAUACGUUUAUGCUGCAGGUAAGCAAUAUAUUUGGGCCUUAUAAAAGUAGAUUGGAUAGAAAUCAAUUCCAGUACGCUUGUGAACACAAAGAAAACCCAGAUUCAUUUCUUCUUGUUAUGGAUGGAUGGACUAGUUAUGACUUGGGAUUUAUCUAUACAUGCUAGGCACCUAAGGAGUGUAGGACACCACCAUCUAUACAUGCAUGCUUAUCUCUGUUGUUAUUAAUUUUGCUCUGCUUUCCUAAUGAUUAAGAUGUAACUUAUAGGUAGAAUACUGUCAGAAAGCUUUGAAUCUCAAACCUCAAAAGUUAUUCAACUAGCCAAGCAACUGCUGAAAGCGAUCUACAUAGUUCAAAACAGAGCACACUCUAAGUUUAAAGUAUCAAAGUUAUGCACCAUAUUCUGCCAAAGAACCUUUUGCAAAGCUUCUUUCUUUCAGGAUACUUUUCUAUGGUUCCAAUCAAACAACAUUCAAGAAAUUGGAGUUUGGCAUUUUUUUGUCAUUAGUUGGAUUUGGAAAGAGAAUAUUCAUAUCUGACAAGUCAUUGCUUGUUUGUGCAUAGAAGGAUGAAAAUAGAUCCUAAUUGUUGUAGUUGUCUUUACCAUUAUGAAGCCAAUUUGAAUGAUCCGAAGCCACAAUCAUGCAAGAGAGAUAUCUGGAGCAUUUAUAAGGUAGUAUUCCUUAAUCAAAAUGAAGAGAAGGGAGAAGAAGUAGAAUGGCUAAUUAAGAUUUAAAACAUGAGAUGCAGUAAUAAUAGAGGUGCAGAGUUUGUCUCUAUUGAAAAGUUGAAAUCAUUCCCUAGUUCGUAUCGGAUUUGGUAGUAGAAAUGAACUCAGUUUAGACAAAAUAAUCCAACUUCUUGUCAGAUCACUGAAAAACUGCUAGAAUCGAAGUAGGUCAAGAGAAAAUUCAGUUCUUUGAAGUUGAGAUACUGCCUAUGACUUUUGGGUUAAAACCUAUAAGAUUGUUUUGUGGAUUCCACAUGAUGAGGACUAGUUCAAACUAAAAUCAAUGGGGUCAAAAGAGAGAUACAAGGUACUAUAGCUGAUUAAUGUAUAAAUGAAUCAUAUUAAUUGUUUGAAGUAACAAGAUUCUGGAAGAAGAGAAAGUUUGACACUGGAGAGAAACAAAAUGACAAGACCAUAAAUAACUUACAGUAAGUGCUGCUCCAAGAUGUCUAUGCGUGUGCCCUCUGAAGAAAUCUGAUGAUGAUCAAGAAGCCAGGCUCUUUUAGAACUUGAGAAACCCCACCAACAGAGACUGUGGUUUCAACCAUAAACAUUGCCAUUGAUCACAAAGCGAUGGAGGUGUCGUGCCCACAAUCACUCAAUUCACAGCCUCCUUAGGCUCUAUCCAAAUGGGAAUUUGUCAUGCACAGAGAAUUGAGGACUUUGCUUCAUAAUGUUUAGAGAUUACUACAGGGAAAUGAUCCUUCAGUUUUGAGUUCUUAUUCAUCUUGAACAGAUCAAUGAGCAUUCAAUUGUUCAGCACCCCGGAAUCUGCUCUUCCUCUAAUUCCUCCACUGGGAAAACUCUACCAAGAUCUGAACAAUCUAUUCUUUCUUCAGAUUUCACUUCCUUGGAAACGUCACCUUCCCAAUCAAGAAAAUCAUCAGGAUUAAUUUGAGCAAAUAUAUCAGAGUAUGCAUCAAGCAAGCCUUGAUCAAAAUCAAAAUCCAAGUUUUCACCCGGUUCCUUCUUCUGGGGGCUGGACUGUGGCUCAUUAGCUUCUGAAGAUUCACAUGUUUCAUGAGAUCUAGAACCUAAGGAUCUGAAGAACCACCAUGUUCUUCUAUUUCCUUUUCCCUGAAUGAAAUGCCUUCUGAACUUGGGUGAUCAAUGGCAACAGACUCCUUAAGCUCUGACUGAUGACAACAGGGAUUGACAUCUUUAAUGACAUUGAAAUCAUAGCUAUGUGAAGGGAAGAAAACAUGAAUCAGAGAGUGCUCCAGAAUAACGAAAUUUGCUAAUUGUUGUCUUAUUGGAGCUCUUAUAUCCAACUCACGGAAAGGUGACCUGGGGUCCUGCAGUGACAUGGAAGGAUUAGAUUUUUUUUCACAUAGAAAUUUUUUUCUUGUUCACAAGGGGAAAAAAUUGUUUUGAUAGUGUUUUUUUUUUUUUUUUUUAAUAGGAAAGUUAUAUACAAGGAAAUGUUAAAGAUAGAAAAUAUUUGAGUAGACAUCAGGUAAUGGCUGGAGUUCAGGUGGGAAUAGUAGAAAAUUCUUUUCGUAGGUAACAUGCGUGCAGUAGAAUUAAAGGAAAAACAGAAACCCAAAUGGAAAAUCCAUCAAUAACCCAAUUCAGUCCCAACCCGGGAUGCUCAUUGCCCAAAUCCAGAGAAAAAAAAUGUAAAUUCAGGUAUUUUGGUACGGACCAGUUGGGUGAACAAAUAUUUUACCCACCAUAAACCAUUAUUUGAACCAUAGAACUAGAGAGACAAGUAUAAUAUUUUGGUUAUCAAUGCACUGUGUGUUGCAAGUUGAGCAAAUCCUAGCCUCUCUUUUUCAAAGAUUUCAGCAGCAGAGCCUAGCAUAAAUGGACCAUCUCCAAAGAGGACGGACGACAAACCACAGUAAAAAAACAGUGAUCCAAUUAACAAAUAGUGCAUGGAUGAUGUGCUAUACCUAAGCUGGCAUUUUGGUUCAUGGCCUCAACACUAGGUCAAUGCAACCCAACAAUAAAGCUGGGUUCAGCACAGUUGGAUUCCUAAACAAGUUGCCCUAGCUCCAUAAGGGCCAAGACAAUCCAAUAAAUUGUAUUUCUAUGGAAAAACAAGAAACCUUUUAAGGCUUAAAAUUGGUGCCACAGGUGUCUAUAGUCAACAACCAUGAAUCAACAAGGAAAACGAAAUACCUUUGGGUAUUUACGAGCAAAAGUUUUGAGACAGUGCAACUGCUCUGCAUGGAAUGAAACUUAUGAUUCCAUGGCCGGGGCUUUAGAUGGUUCUCAAUUACAGAUGAGAGGGUUCAGUUUGCAUUUAUUCUGUAAUAACAUUAAAUGAAUCAAUGAAACAAUAAAAUUUGAUAGAGUAGGAAGACUAUGAUAAAAGCUCUCCUGAAGAAAAGACUAUUAUAACUACUAAUUUUUUAAAUAACGGUUAUAUGAAAACGAAGCUAGAAAAUAGGAAUUCCAUGUAAAACAUAAAUCAUAUCAAAUUCAACUAAACAACCCGUAAGUAGACAUGUGGUAAUCUUCCUUAAAACUAAAGACAACUAGUUAUCUCAUGAAUACAUGAUUACCUUUGGUUGUAUUGAGAUUUAUUUUUCUCCUUCUUCGACACUCCACUGGGGAGAAAUAGGACUUUCGUCCUGUGACUCUGCAGCAUUCCUAAGGCCUUGAAGAUGGGAUGGAAUCUUAAAAUGAGAAUACCCAAACAAAUUAAUUCUUGUUCUCUGAGCAGAUUCUGCGACCCUCUUCACUUCCUCGAACAAAUUAUAAUCUACCAAAAUAAAUAAAUAAAUAAAACUGCAAAAAGGGUAAGUGAAAUAUGAAGACAACACAACAAACUUCCUUGACAAUAUUAUAAUUCACCCAUAAUUAAAAACUCAAAAAUCAUGAAAUGAGUACCAAAAUCUGAAGAAAAAGUGGCAACCUUCUUCACAUAAAUUAACAAUCAAUCCAUGAAAAAACUUUGAAACUCUAAAUUUGUAUCGAAACUUUGAAAUUUGAAGACAAAACACUCAACUUCCUCAAGCCAAUUACAAAUCACAUAAGACGUACACAGCAAAAUCUUCAAAGCAGCCAUUACUGUGAAGGAAUGGACAAACCAGCAAAAGAAAACACUAUAAUAUGAAGAGCAAAGAGCAAACUUCCUCAAGCUAAUUACAAUACACCAUUACUGAACAUCUUCAAAAUGGCGAAACAUAUCAAAAUUUCAAGGAAAUAAAAAAAAUAAAAAAAAUAAAACAGUAAACUUCCUCAAUGGUGACCACACUCCAUUCAUGACAAAUCUUCAGAAUAGCCAAAUGGGUAUUGAAAUUUGACAACAAAGAACAAAAUCGGGAGAAAAAGUUACCAGAUAAGAGAAGAUUAUCGUCAAAUUGAGAGAGGGGAAAGAACUGGGUCCGCUGCCUCUUGCCCGUACACCUAGUGUGUUGCUUGUGAGCUUUAACACAAGGAAGACUACAGGAGCGUACAAAACAACCUGGGCGUGUGUACUUUGAUAGAUUCGAUUUGCACUCUUUGCACAGAGGUGGGUGUUUUGGACUGUUGCAGGUGAGUCGUCUCAUUCUUCCAUGGGCGAAAGGUUGAGGCAUUAAGCGGUGUAUUCAGAAGAACUGGUCGUUAAACGGGUAAAGGAAAAGGGUCAAUCAUGUUUAAAAGGAUUUUAUCAGCCGGAUUUUUUAUAUUAUUCCUAAAAUUUCAAUAUAUUAUUCCUAAAAUUGUAUUUUAAAAAUGCUGAUUUUAGUAUUAAGAUUGUAGGCUGAAGACACGACUUUGUUUCAUUUCAUUUUUUUGUUUGUUGUUACUUUCAAGGCAUGACUCUAUUUCAUUUUUUCCUUUUUUUUUUUUAAUUUUUAUUAUUUUUCUAUCUUUUAUGUUUUUUCUAAAAAAAUAAUUUUUUAAAUUAUUUUAUAUUCAUGAAGCGUAGUUCGUUUGUAGAGGUUCAUUUUGAAUGAAUAUGGACAAAGAAAAAAUAAUAAAAAAUAACUAAAUAUUAAAAUUUUAAAAGUAAACAAAAAAUUUUGAAAAUAGAUAAACUUAAUUAUUUAAAUAAAGUCAUUAUCUUGAUCCAUUUAUAAAUUUAUAUAAAUUUGAAUAAUUAAAUGAAAAUUUGAAAAGAAAUACAAAAAAUUAAAAAUAAAUAAAUUUCAAUUUUAUUAUUUUAGUUAUUAAGUAAAAUCGAUGUUGGUUGACUUAUUGUUAUAUUUCAUUAUUGGAUGUUGAAAUAAAGAAAUUGUUGAUAUAUUUAGGUAAAUUCAUUUUAGUGCCUAAAAAAAUGCGAUUGGUAAGAACUUUGCUGAAUUAGUAUUUUAAAAACAUAUUUUCAAUUAAAUAUACUAAAAUUAUAUCUUUUAAACAUAAUUCCAUUAAUUCAUGCAUUUUACAUUGAAGUUAUAAAUGGAACACAUGAUUUCAGUAUUUUUACAAUGAAAUUAUGUUUCAAAGACACGAUUUCAACAAAAUACAUUAAAAUCGUGUCUUCAAGAAGCUAUAUCCAUGUUUUGUUAGUACAAUGUGUCAUGGAUUUGGAAAAAAAUAUCAAAUUAUUCAUAUUUUGAAAAAAUAAUUUUAAAAAUUAUGGUAUUUAAAAAAAAAACCAUUUAUCAUUCAAAAAUGCCCUCAAACUUAAAAGCAAAGAAAAUUUUCUUUUACCAGCUUAUACCAAGUAAAUACUUUAAAAAUUAAAAAGAAAAAAAAACCCUACUUUAUGAACAGAGGCGUGGGAAAGUUUAGAAUGAAACAAAAAAUUUUUCUCCCUUUAUUUAUUAGAAAAAAAGCUAAACACUUUAGUUUUUUUUUUUCCAUUCAAAUGAAAAUAUCUAAUAAAAAAUAUAAAUUGAAAAAGAAGGCAAAAAAGGAAAAAGUUAAUUUGCUUUCAAAUUUAAGUUAGAAAAGAAAAUAAACAAUCCCUAUGUUUGGUUUGAAAAUUUUCAAGAUAAAAAAUUAAAUAUUUAUAUAUCUAAUUUAAUUUUUUUUAUUAUCCUUAGAAAAGUUAAAGAAAAAAUAAAAAAUUUGUAAUCUUUUGAUAUUAUGUUUAAUUAUGAGAAAGUAAUUAUGAUUUUUUCCAACCACUUUUAGAAUUUUUUGUAUAUAUCUGAAAUAAGCAUAGACUUGAGGAUGCAAGUUAUUUUAUCAAAAGAAAACAUGAAUUUGAAUUAUCUUACUUUACAAUACAAAACAAAUUGUUUAUCAUUUAAGGGUUAUAACAAUAAUGGCAUAUGAAAUCUUCCUUAAAAGUCAAAGCCACGCGUUACAUUAUAAUUUCGUUAAAUACAACUUACACCCUAAACUUUUGACUUAUUUUAUAUUUUAUCUUCUUACAUUCAAAAUCCAACAUUUUGCUUUCAAACUUAUUAUAGACAACACUUCACCUCCUAUUACAAACCUUCCAUAAAUUUUUCUUCUUUAUAUUAUAAUUCGAAUACUAGUUUGAAAUUGGGUAAAACCAACUUUGAAUUAACAAUCUUCAAUUAAAAUUUUAUAAAUAUCUUCAAAAUAUAGUAAUUAUCAGUUUUAAUUUUUUAUUUUAAAGAGAUAUUCAUAUAAUUAUUCAUAAUUUUUUUAUUUUAUAGAGAUAUUUGUAUAAUUAUUCAUAAUUUCAGUAUACAACUAUGAAAUGUAAUAGUUUCAAACUUAUAUCAUACAUAUUUUUUUUAUACAUUUCAACUUUAUUUCUUUAUUUAAUAAAUUGUCUUCAAACUGAUAAAUGGUAGUUUUUUCAUUCAUUCAUGUACAAAGUAUAUAUAGAGGGUAAUCACCAUUCUAAGAAUGAGAAAGAAUGAUACAAGGAAAGAAUGAUAUAAGGAAAUAACAACUAAUAUUCUAAUAUCUCAACUUUCCUAAUAUCUCAAUAUUCCUAAUAUCUUAAUAUUCAUAAUAUCUCAACUUUCCUAAUAUCUAAACAUUCAUAAUAUCUCAACACUAAAUGAUAUAAGGAAAGAAUGAUAUAAGGAAAGCAUUCCUAAUAUCUCAACAAAUUGUUCAUGAACUUUUUAACAAAAUUGAAAGACAAAAGUAUCUUAUUUAAACAAAUGUUAGAAUUUUUAAUGUAAAAAAGUAAAAUAUAAAAUAAGUUAAAAGUUUAAGGAGUAAAAUGUAUUUAAGGAACGUGUUAUGGACUAGCACUUUCAACUUCUUCUAGGAAAGAUUUUAUGAUUAGAUAUAUAACUUUUAAAUAAAUAAAAAAAUUGUUUUCUAUUUUGAAGUAAGAUAAUCAAUAAUUGCAAAUGAGAUUGAAGUUUGUAAAAAAACUAUUAUAAUAUACAUAAGAAUAUUUUGAAUUAAUAGAUAUGUAAAUUAACCUAAUGGCUAUACUUUUUUAAUUAAAUUAAAUUCUAUUCAACUAAGCACUAGUUAUAAACUUAUAGCUUAUUAAUAACUUCAUCAUAAGUUCAUAACUAUAAAAUAAAUAAUAAUUUUCUAGAAAAAAAAACAGUAGAUAAUGAUGUGUCAAUAAACUUGAUUAAACUAAACACUAGACAAGCUUAUUAAUUGAAUUUUAAAACUAUAAAAUAAUCAAUAACUUCCUACAAUUUAUAUAUUGUUUAUAUUUUAUAAUCUUAAUGACAAGAUUCACUUGUUUCUCUUUGGUCAUGAGAUCUACAUUUUAUAAUCUAAUUUACAUCAUUUAUCAACACAAUUAUGUGGACUAAAUUAAACAUAAUUAUGGUUGUGUGGACCCCAUAUUUUAGCUCGAUGCAUUCCAACUUGAUGGCGUGACUCGUUUUUUAAUUAUUUGUGAGAAAUUGAUUUUUAGAAAAAGACUUGCGGUCGCCACUUAUUUUUUGUUUAAUUUUUUAAAGGAAAAACAAAAUAAGAAAGAAAACUCUAACUGUGACUCUUUAUUUGAAAAAGACGGUUUGUGAAAAACCAAACUUGAGUUUGGGGGUCAGGUUACUAAUUAGAAAGGUACGGUAAAGACCGUAGCACCCCUCUAAGCCCCCCAAAAAUGGGUCUAUACUAAAUAAGGUGAUACAAGUAUGACAAUUGAUAAGAAAAUCAAUGGAUACUAAUGAAUUGAUCGAAUAAUAAAACAAAUUGAGUAUGAGAACGAAUAAAUAAAUGAAGUAGGAAUGAGAGCGUACCUUAGCAACAAGUAAUAGUGUUCUAUCAUGUAAACAAGGUUAGCUCAGGUAUAAAAUUAUCACAUGCAUAUCAAAGAGCAAACCAAAGAUCAAAUAAUAUUCAUUAAGUAUAGCAAUUGACAAUCAGAAGAGAAAAAUUAUAUGUGGGGUCCCCACCAAAGCCCAAUUUAUCUUGCAUGAAUUAGUCUCAUAAAUUCCAUUAUUUUGGAAUUAUGAAAAAAUCAUUCUUGUUUAUUUUAAAUCAAGAUAAACAGAAAAUUAUUUGAAAAUCGAAAAAAAUUUGUACAAACGCAUACCAAAAUGAGAAUGACAACAGACUUAUUAAAAUCAGGAUUUUUGGCGACCUAAAACCCUAAUAAAGGAUGAAAAGUUGCAGAAUUGAAAAAAUAUUUGACAACUGGAGUGAAAUUAAAACUAUUCGGAAGAAAACUAGAGUUUUGAAAUUUAUUUGAAGAUUGAAGUUUCAAAAAUUAUUUGAAAUUGAAGUUUUGAAAAUUAAAUUUAAGAAUUGGAAUUUUGGAAAUUAAAUUUGAAGAUGGAAUUUUUUUAAAAAAUAAAAAAAUAAAAAAAUAAUAAUAACAAAAUUAAUAAUGAUUAAAUACAUAAAUAUGAAAAUUGGAAUUUUUGGAAAUUGAGAAUUAAGUUUGGAAAUAAGAAUUUUGAAGAAUUAUUUAAAGAUAGAAUUUAAAAAAAAAAUAAAUAAAUAGAAUAAUAAUAAUAACGAAAAAUAAUAAUGAUUAAUUAAAUAAAUGUGAAAAUUGGAAUUUUGAAAAUUGGGAAUUAAAUUGGGAAAUGGAAUUUUGAAGAAUUAUUUAAAGAUAGAAUUUUAAAAAUAAAUAAAUAAAUAAAUAAAUAAAUAAAUAAAUAGAAUAAUAAUAAUAACGAAAAUAACAAUGAUUAAAUAAAUAAAUGUGAAAAUUGAAAUUUUGGAAAUUGAGAAUUAAAUUUGGAAAUCGGAAUUUUGAAGAAUUAUUUAAAGAUGGAAUUUUAAAAAUAAAUAAAUAAAUAGAAUAAUAAUAAUAAGAAAAUAACAAUGAUUAAAUAAAUAAAUGUGAAAAUUGGAAUUUUGGAAAUUAGGAAUUAAAUUUGGAAAUCAGAAUUUUGAAGAGUUAUUUAAAGAUGAAAUUUUAAAAAUAAAUAAAUAAAUAAAUAAAAUAAUAAUAAUAACGAAAAUAAUAAUGAUUAAAUAAAUAAAUAUGGAAAUUGGAAUUUUGGAAAUUGGGAAUUAAAUUUAGAAAUCAGAAUUUUGAAGAAUUAUUUAAAGAUGAAAUUUUAAAAAUAAAUAAAUAAAUAAAUAAAAUAAUAAUAAUAACGGAAAAAACAAUGAUUAAAUAAAUAAAUGUGAAAAUUGGAAUUUUAAAAUUGGGAAUUAAAUUUGAAAAUCAGAAUUUUGAAGAGUUAUUUAAAGAUGAAAUUUUAAAAAUAAAUAAAUAAAUAAACAAAUAGAAUAAUAAUAAUAAUGAAAAUAAUAAUGAUUAAAUAAAUAAAUGUGAAAAUUGGAAUUUUAAAAUUGAGAAUUAAAUUUGGAAAUCAAAAUUUUGAAGAAUUAUUUAAAGAUGAAAAUUUUUAAAAUUAAAUUUGAAAAUAAUUAAAGUUUGGGAAGUCAAAGUUUUGAAAAUUAAACUUACAAAUGGGAGUUUUGAAAAAUUAAAUUUGAAAAAGAUUAGAGUUUUGAAAAUUAAUUAAAAAUUGGAAUUUUGAAAAUUUAUUUGAAAAUGAAAGUUUGGAAAAUUAAAUUUAAAAAGAUAAUUAAAGUUUGGAAAGUUAAAGUUUUGAAAAUUAAACUUAAAAAAUGGAGUUUUGAAAAAUUAUCUCAAGUUUAAAAUUUUGAAAAUUAAAUUUUUGGCAUCAAAAGUUGAAGAAAUAAGAAAAUAAAUAAAUAAAUAAAGACAAAAGGCCUUAGCAACAUUGGCCAAACGUGUACAGGACCAACAACACCACAAACCCAUUUUCAUAUUGCAAUAAUGUCAUACACACACCACUAUCCCAUUUUCCAAUGCAUAUAUUUGUCAUACUCACACCACAAACCCAUUUUUUUAUGCAUGUGUCUGUCAUACCCACACCACAAACCCAUUUUCAUGUAUAUUCAAUGAGUGGAUCUCAUACCUGGGAUGUGGUUUGUGAACGAUGAAGAGACUUGUCUUAUAUUUCUACCUCUUGGAGUUCAAAAGAUGGUAGGGGCCAUCAUCAUAGGUGCACAAAGGGAUUGCGACGGAAGAGAAUGGGCUGCGAGAGACAGGGCAAGGAAUAUCUAAAAAAAAAAAAAAAACUGAAGCCACAUGAUUCUUUCGGGUCUUAAGAGUACAACCUGGUGAUGGUCAGUCUGACUCAUGGUGGUGCAGCAUGUGUGGGCUAGGAGAAUGAGUUUGAAUGGAAGAGGUGGUGAAAGAAGUGGGUUCGACAGUUGAAUGAAAGAUAGAGAUAUGGGGCAUGGUGACGAGCUUGAUGGGUAUAAAGGAUGGGAAAAUGGGUAUGGUUAUGACAUUUUCAAUGGGUGUGAAAGAUUAGAGGGUGGCGAGCUGGGUAGGCGUGAAGCCCUUGUGUGAACAGUGAGCACUUGUGCAAUUAAACAAAUAUCAAAUUAUGAUAAAAUAAUCCAAUAUCUCACUCAUUUAUAAGAGAAAUCAAAGAAACUAAAAAAAAAAGAACAAAACAAAGCAAGUGUGAAGCGAGCUUAGAUUCAACAAGAUCCAAUCUACAACAAACGAUGUUCAAGAUCAACAAUGGCAAGGAAGGAAAAUAGAGAAAUCCCAAAGUGAAGGUACCCAUAACUGCCAUACUUGAGCUCCUCAAGUGAAGCUCUUUCUUGUCUCCUCUCUUUUAGCUCUCCAUUCUCCUUGCUUAAAAAAAAAAACUCCCCCACGUCUCCCUCCCCUGUAUUGUUUUCACUCAAUCUCCCUAAAAAUCCCCUCCUGAGUCCAACCUCACAUGCCCUUUUACUCUCACACGUCUCAGUCCCCCUAAAUUAGUCGACUCACCAUCUGUAUCCUCUUGCUUCCUUUCUCUUCCCGAGCCCUGUUUUCUUCUCUUGCAAACUUCCACCGGCUCCCUGCUUCAACCAUCAUUUCAUUAAUUUUGUUCCAGCUAUCCCCCUCCCCAACUACUCCUCCAAAUGAAGUGCCUAGUUUACCCGGUCUCAAUGAGGGGUGGUAAAAAAAGUUGCUUUAUAAUGGGGUCUACAUGUUGGUAUAGUGCUUAUUUAUAAAAGUAAUUCAGAAAUGAAAGAAAUUGAAACAAAAUUAAACAUUAAAGUGAAAAGCAAAUGAAAAUUAACCAAUCACUCAACAAGUCAAAGAAAAUCGAAGUUUUUAUAUACUUGUGAGUGGGUUCAAAGUGGGUUCAGUAUAACAUUAGAUUUGUAGAUAUUGGAAAUAUUUGAUAAUAAUACUAAAGAAAAAUUGAAGUUUUACAAAUGACACGCCUUUAAAAAUUGAGGGAGAUCUUUAGAUUAAUACCACUUAGUAAAUAUUUAUUCUUUUUCUUUUUAGAAAAACAUUUUUUGGUAUAUAUAUUUUAAAAAUAUAAUAGAAAAGAGGAAUCAUUUAAAAAAAAUUAAAAUUCCAUACAUUGUUAAAUUAAAUACAGUAUUCAUUUAAAUAAAAAAUAGUAUUUAUAUCAUUAAACAUAUUUGUGGACCCCGUAUUUUUGCUCGAUGCGUUCUCACUCGAUGACGAAACUUGCUUUUUAUUUUAUUUGGUGAAAAUUUGAUUUUUAAAAAAAGACUUGAAGUCGCCACUUAUUUUUGUUUUAUUUUUAAAGGGAAAAACAAAAUAAAAAAGAAAAACCUUAAGUGUGACUCCUAAAGGAAAAACAAGUUUAUGAAAAACCGAGUUUGGGUCUGGGGGUCAGGUUACUUAUUAGGAAGGUACGGUGGUGAGCCGUAGCACCCUUUUAAGCCUAUAUAUAUAUGGUCUCUACUAAACGAAUUAAGGGAAUUGUGACAAUUAAUUAAUUAAUUAUGGAUAUCGAGAAAAUAAUUAAUGUAGAAGUCACGGUGAAAAUUAAUAUACACAAAAAUAAUGACGAAAUCUAAUUAUAAGAAUACACAAAAUAAAUGACAAAAGAAUGAUGCAACAUGAUUUAUUGAACUAAAUAAAUAAAUAAUAAAAAAUAUUAAAAAAAUAGUUUUCAAAAAAUUUUAAAGGAUUUUAUUAAAAAUGAAUUUGAAUGAGUGAUUUCAAUUUAUUUAUUUACAAAAUAUUUUCUUUAAGUGAUUUGAUUCAAUUUCAUUUGUAUUUAAUUUUCAAAAAAAGUUAUUUACACUUAUUGUAUCAAAAGAAUUCAUUACAAAAUUUCAAUUUGGGUACAAAAAUUAUUUUUUACUUGUUUUUUUUUAAAAAAGAAUGAAUUUUUACAAUUUUAUUUACAAAAGUAUUUUGAUUCGUUUUCAUUUAAAAAAAGUGAUUUAUACAAAUUAUUUAAAAAAAAACAUAACUUUAUUUGCAAAAGAAAUCUUAAUUAAAAAGAAAAAAAAUUAAAUCUUCUAUUUCUAAAAAAUACUUUUAAUCACAUUUUAAUUGAGGAAAAAAAAAGAAUUCAUUUAAAAUAACAUUUUUUUGGACAAUUUUAUUAAAAAAAUAAUUUUUGGGACAAAUUUAUUUACAAAACAAUUUUUGGACAAUUUUUAUUAAAGGAAGAAAUUUUUGGACAAUUUUAUUAAAUUUUUUUUAAAAAAAAUUCUAUAAAAAAAAUUCUUUUGGAUUUUUCUAAAUGCAUUUUUCUGAAUUUUUAUAAAUAAAUAAAAACUUUCUCUUAUUAGAAUAUUUUAAAAUCAUUAUUUUAUUAAAACAUAUUUAUUGAAUUAUUUCCCUUAUUUAAAUAAAAUUUCUAAUUUGUUCAACCACCAAUUCUGUACACAACAAAUAAACAUAUACAAACAAAUAUUUAUAAGAAUUAAUAAAAAUAAAAUAAAAUAAAAGUGGUAAAUAAAAUAUGUAUCCAAAUAAACUUACAAGCUCUACGUGUCAUCAAUUCGCACUCAGCCAACAAGAUUGCAAAGUGGGUCCAUGCAAAAACAAGAAUAGCACAAAUGUAAAUAUCCAGAGAUAUACAAAAUCCCAAACAAAUAUUCAAACCCAAAUUCUAAUUUCAAAUUAGUCCCAUAAAUUUCGUCAAUUAAAAUAAGUCCAAAUUACUAUAGGUCUUUACCUAGAACAUCCAAAUUAAUAACAAAAAAUACAAACAUAAUCAACCAAACCUAAAAUUGGAUAAAUUAAAAUAAAUUCUAUUAGGCCUAAAUUUAAUAUUCCAUAAUCUAAACCUAAUUUAAUAUACACCACAAUUGUCCCAUGUCCAAAUUAAAUAAUUUAAAUUGGCCAAGCCCAUAUCAAAUAUUCAAAUAAUCUAACAAAUCCCACUCACAUUAUGGGCCCCAAAAUUCACAUCAAUUAACAAGCCCACAUAAAAAAAAUACAUGGUCAAAUGAAAUAAUAUUUCAAGCUCAAUCCAAUAAAACCCAAACAAAUAAAUAAUUAACAAUAUGCCCAAUUCCAAAUAAACAAUAUGAAAUUGAUCUAAUCCUAAUAUCACAACUUAAUCACCAAAUACAAUAUAACCACAAACCCAAAUUAACAAAUUUCAAAUUAAUCCACCAACAAUAAAUUAACCCAAAUUUCAUAUUAAUUCUUCAAUAACAAAUUAACUCAAAUUUCAUAUUAAUUUACCAACAACAAAUUAACAUAAAUUCCAUGCUAAUUAAUAAAGCUCAAAUAUAAAGCCCACAAAUAAAUAUAAAUAUACAAGCCCAAUUUCAACAACAAUUAUUAUUAAAAUCAUAAUAAUAAUAAUAAUAAUAAUAAUAAUAAUAAUAAUAAUAAUAAUAAUAAUAAUAAUAAUGAUAAUAAUAAUAAUAAUCGAUUGUCCCAAAAAUGGAUGGAAGGGAGAGAUCUCCGUCUGCUGGGAAUGAUGCCGACGACGGCAGCUCAUCGGCGACGAAUAACCGAUUGUGGAUAUGGUGUUGAGAUAUGAUGAUAUAUUCUAGGAAAGUAGAUAUUAUGAUAUAUGUUGAGAUAUUAUGAUAUAUUCUAGGAAAGUAGUUGCUAUUGUUUGGGAUUGUUUCCUAAACUCACGGUUUUCCCUUAAUUAGGUUUGCUUGAUGUACUAUAUAUUUACAUGGAUGAAUAUCAAUUAGGGUUAAGCUUUGACCCUUUAAUCACACUUUACAUGGUAUCAGAGCGCUGACAUGCACACACAAUAAAACAAUGGCCGACGACGAUGAACAACCACCAUUGCCGCCACCUAAAAGGGAGAUGAAUUCACCUUUUUUGCCCGAACAAUGGAAAGCUCUUGCGGGCUUAAUUGGUAAUGCUCAAGUUCCGGAUGACAGGUUGAAUGGUAAGUUUGACACGAAGUCAUGGAUCAUUGACACCGGGGCAACUCAUCACGUGACCGGUGAUUUAUCUUGGUUAUUUGAUACUAUAGCGUUGUUUGAGUGUUCGGUUGGCCUUCCUAAUGGUGAAUCUGUUGUUGCGACCCAAUCCGGUUCCGUUCGUUUGUCGAAUAACAUCACUCUUCAAAACGUUCUUUAUGUGCCGAAACUCAAUUGCAAUUUACUUUCGGUUUCACAAUUGACUGAUGACUUACAUUGUAUUGUCCAAUUUAACUCUUAUAUGUGUGCUAUACAGGACCACACCAGGGAACUGAUUGGAACAGGAGUUAGGCGAGAUGGACUUUACUACUUCGGUGGAGCUGAAGGUGAUUCGGUACAACAUGUUUCUGUCCAUAACGCAGCAUCCACUUUGGAGUUGUGGCACAAAAGGAUGGGACAUCCUUCAGAGAAAGUAGUGAAGUUACUUCCUCCAGUUAGCAAUCUUAAGGGUAGUUUAAACAAAGCUUGUGAAAUAUGUUUUCGUGCUAAGCAUCCUAGAGACAAAUUUCCUUUAAGUGACAAUAAGGCAACUAGAAUUUUUGAGAAAAUACAUUGUGAUUUGUGGGGCUCUUAUAAACAUGUCUCUUCUUGUGGAGCUCGUUAUUUUUUAACUAUUGUUGAUGAUUUCUCAAGAGCUGUGUGGAUUUAUUUGUUGGUCGAUAAAACAGAAGUUUUUCGGAUGUUUAUGUCUUUUAUUGCAAUGGUAGAUCGACAAUUUUCUCAAACAGUGAAAGUUGUUCAAAGUGAUAAUGGUACGGAAUUUAAGUGCCUACUUGACUAUUUUUCUACAACUGGCAUUUUAUUCCAAACUUCUUGUGUGGGAACUCCGCAACAAAAUGGGAGGGUUGAGAGAAAACACAAGCAUAUUUUAAAUGUGGGGCGGGCAUUAUGCUUUCAAGCAAAUUUGCCUAUUUAUUUUUGGGGCGAAAGUGUUCUUGCCGCUGCUCAUUUAAUAAACCGCACUCCCUCUCCUUUGUUACAUAAUAAAACACCUUUUGAAAUCCUAUUUGGCACCCCUCCUUCAUAUGCGGCAAUUCACACCUUUGGUUGUCUUAGUUUUGCUCAUGAUAAAAAAUCCAAAGGUGACAAAUUUGCAAGUAGAAGUAGAAAAUGUGUGUUUUUGGGUUACCCGUUUGGAAAGAAGGGGUGGAAGUUGUUUGAUUUGGACACCAAGGAAUUAUUUGUUUCUCGUGAUGUCAAGUUUAUUGAGGAUGUUUUUCCGUUUGGUAACCCGGGUGCUGUGAAUAUUAUUCCGGAAAACAUUGUGCCUAUGGUAAAUGUUGAAAUUGAUAGUGAUUUUGCUGAUUUUGUCGAUGAUGAUGCUGAUUUGCCUAACCCACAAGCCCAAACACAAAAUCCCAACCUCAUCCAACCUGAACCCCAAGCCCACCAAGAUCAGGUGCCCCAUUUUGAUGCCGAUCUAGAUCUGGGCUUGAGGGAGGGUGGGCUGGCCCACACCGAGGCUUCUUCAGCUACUCUUUCACCUGGGCCGGAAGUUGUUCCCACUGUUGGGCUUGAUUCACUUGGGCUUGACAAUACAAGCAAUGGGCAGUCUGCUCCUAUGGGAAAGGGAAUGAGGGAUAAAUUUCCUUCGGUUCUAUUACGAGAUUUUGUUACUCAUACGGUGGUUGCUAAAAGUCCAUCUCCCG